rnacentral:lncRNA from 1 species
UUUUUUUUUGUGAAAAUGAGCCUAGUUUAUUUUUUCUGAAGAAUACCCAAUCCAGGCCUACUUAUUUUUCUACGCCCUGAUGGGCUGCAACUCUUUCAAGACGCCUGCAAAUCUUGAAAGUAAUAUGAAAUGGGUUGUAAAUAUAAAAACAGAUGACAAAUUGGCAAUUACUUUAUAAUUUCUGAAUUUUUUUCACAUUUUCAGAUUUCUAUUUCACUGGGCAUUAACCUAAUUUAAAUAUAUCUUCAAAGUACUUUAAAUUUGGUUCGACAUUUUGGUAUUAAAAAUAGUUUGGAACCCACAAAAAUAUGCGAAAUUGGCCCUGGCCAACCAAAAAAACAACUGCAAUAAAUUGCAUAAGAAGUUGCCAUGAGCUAUAUAUAAAUUAUUAAAAAAAGAGGGAGUGGUCUGACUUGUGGGCCUGUUUAGUUGACGCGUAUGCAAGAUUUUUUUAGUUAUUAUAUACGUCAACAAACGAUUCUAGUAGACGUAACCGUUGGAUGUCAAUCCAACGGUCAUCGUGUUUCUUCAAUCUUUGAUCCUCUUGCUCCAGCCACCAAAGCAGCGUCGGCGGGACCGCCUACUCCCGCCUCCUGUGGCAGGUUGUGCUGCCGGGCAGGCCUCGGCGCCCCCUACUACUCCCACCGCUGGCCAGGGCAUCCCUCUACUCACCCACACCCCCUGUUAUUCUGCGGCGACUACGGCCAAACCGGUGAACCCUCGUACUCCUCUCCGCGCGGGCUUCCACUGCCGUGUCUUCCCCGGCUCCGCGUCGUCCCCUUCCUAGGCCUCACGUCGUCGUGGUGCUCUCGGCGCGGCGUGGUCAAUGUGGUCAACGACCGACUUCCAUCGGAAGAGUACUGUACGUGGAGAGGCUGAAGUUGGGUCCACGGCAGCCGCAAGGAAGUGCCUCCUUAUUACGCGGAAAAUAAUUAUUCCUCCACCUGACAGCAGGGACCCACCAGACGGGCCACUGGUAUUUCGCGAAAAAAACAUUUCUCCCUGACUGCUGGGACCCACAGGACGGGCCACCGUAUUUCGCGAAAAAAACAUUACCCCCACUGUCAGCUCAGACCCAUCGGAAGUGCCUCCUUAUUACGCACAAAAAAAAUGAAUACCCCCUGCUAGCUGGGACCCACCUUGGUGGGAGGCUGACUUGUGGGCCUACUAAGUUGACUGGGACGGGGGCCUUUGUCAACUUUAGUCAAUAUAUGAACGAUUCUAGCUCCAUUGACUGUACGAUGUCCAUCCAACGGCCGUAGUGCUUCUUCAACCUCUGGUCUUCUUGCUCCAGCCGCCCAAAGCAGCAUCGGUCGUGCCGCCUGCUCCUGCCACCCGUGGUCGGCUGUGAUGCCGCGGAGGCCUCACCGCCCCCUACUACUCCCACCGCUGGCCAGGACAUCCCUCUACGCACCCACACCCCCUGUUAUUCUGCGGCGACGGCAGCCUCACACCGCAGCCGAACGAGUGAACCCUCAUACUCCUCUACACGUGGGCAUCCACUGUCGCGUCUUCCCCGGCUCCGCAUCAUCCCCUUACUAGGCCUCGUCGUCGUCCACCGCCCCGGUGCUCUCGUCUCCUUAUUACGCACAAAAUAAUUAUUCCUCCACCUGACAGCUGGGACCCACCGGACGGGCCACUGUAUUUCGCAAAAAAAAUGUUUCCCCUGACUGCUGGAACCCACCAGCUACACCUUCGCACGUAAGGAAGUGCGUCCGGGCAAAAAAAAGAUUCGCCCCUGACUGCUGGGACCCACCAGCUACAUCUUCGCAGGCAAGGAAGUGCCUGACAGUCGGGACCCACCUGGUCGAAGUGUACGUAGCAUUGUCAUUCUGGUCGCGAACGUGUACGUACAUAUAUACUGGUUGAUGUAGAGGCGCGCACGUGUCGUAGUAGAGGCGCGUACGUGUCGUAGUAGAGGCGUGCAUGUAGCAUGUACACGUACGUACAGCGGCCAGGGUGCAAGAAAGAAAAUAUGGCAACAUAUGUGUACAUACGGGCGGGGUCUCGAACGCCUACUCGCGCAUACGUACGGCCAAGGCUCGUGUACAUGGCUGGGUCAGAACGGAGAAACAGCGUCGUGUUCAUGGGGAAGCAACGGAAUGCGUCGUGUUCAUGGGGAGGCAACGGAAUGCGUCGUGUUCAUCGGGAGGCAAUGGAACGCAUGGGAGCCAACCGGCUGGGUCGGAACGGAAUGCGUGGUCGUGUUCAUCGGGAGGGCUUCGACGGAACAGGCGAUGGAAACGAGGCCUGGCGUACCGCAAAACGGAGGAAACUGACCUCCUACGGUCCAAACGGGGGUCCUGUUGAUCGGGAGGGGUGUGGCGUACCGCACAACGGACGAAACAGACCUCCUACGGUCGAGACGGAUCUCCUACGGUCGAAACGGGGGUCCUGUUGAUCGAGAGGGGUGUGGCGUACCGCAAAACGGACGAAACGGACCUCCUACGGUCGAAACGGGGGUCCUGUUGAUCGGGAGGGGUGUAGCGUACCGCAAAACGGACGAAACGGACCUCCUACGGUCGAAAAGGGGGUCAUGUUCAUCGGGAGGGGUGUGGCGUACCGCAAAACGGGACUCCACGGGAUACUGUUCAUCUCCACCGUCGACCUCCUCCAGCCUCCACGGGUUACCGUCGACCUCCUCCAGCCUCCAUGGGCUCCUAUUCAUCCAGCCUCCACUAUGCGCUACUCCACCGGCUACUAUUCAACCACCCCUCCACCGUCUACUGUUCAUCCUACCCUCCACACCACGGGGUCCUAUUCAACCACCCCUCCACGGGCACCCCUCCACCGUCUACUGUUCAUCCAGCCCUCCACCACACCACGGGGUCAUGUUCAUCCAGAGGCAACGCCACCGCUCACUGUUCAUCCAAACCCCCCUCCCCCCCGCAACGCUCACUGUUCAUCCCAGAGGCAGCAUCAAUCGGCUUCAGUUAGCAGCAGUAGUGAAGGAAUCGCUCGAUCGGGUUCAGUUAACAGUCAUCGAUUGAUCGCUCGGGUUCAGUAACUCGUAGCCUGCAAUGCAAUCGCUCGGGUUCAGUUAGAGCCCAACGCCUCGCUCAGGUUCAAUUAGAGCCAAUGCCUCGCACACACGCAUGUACGUGUACGAGAAAAACGCGCAUCGCUCGGCCCCCGACCUCCCACUGUAACCGGGAACUCCCCGAAAUUUUUCUUGCCCUCGCUUCUACCACGGUUUUUUCCGUCAUGGACGGCCCAAAGAAUGUCAUGCAGUUGCGUCUCCGGCCCGCCCAAGACAAAAAGCCCAUUUUCUGUCAUGAUUUUUUUGUCAUAGAAGUAGGAUCCCACCACGUCUAUGAUGAUACCGGGUUUUGUCACAAUUAUCGUCAUAGAAGUGUCAUAUGUAUGACAGAAAAAAAUUCGUUCGGCCCAAAAUGUCAUGGAUGUGUCUUUUUUUUGUAGUGUCACUAGCAUGACUCCAAUAACACCAUCUUUAUAUCUAAAACAAAUGCAAGGAAUCAAACUUCUCAUAUAUUCAAUGCUCUUUAUGAAAGUUUUUAUUACAUCUUUCUUGAAACUGACAAACUACUCCAAAAGGAUAUAAGUGAAGAUCAAUGAAUAAUUAUGUAGCUAUGUGAAGACUCUCUCUCAUAAAUAAAAUUUCAGAUCUUAAGUACUUUAUUCAAACAGCAAGCAAAACAAAAUAAAAUGGCAUUCCAAGGAUAGCACAUAUCAUGUGAAGAAGCAAAAACUUAGGUUCAACCAAAACUGACCGAUCAUUGUUGAAGAACAAAGGUGGGAUGCCAACCGGGGCAUCCCCAAGCUUAGAUGCUUGAGACUUCUUGAAAUAUUAAUUAGGGAUGCCUUGGGCAUCCCUAAGCUUGAGAUUUUGUGUCUUCUUCAUUCCUUUUAUGUCAUGGUUUGCCUAAAUCUUAAAAACUUCAUCCACACAAAACUCAACAAGAACUCAUGAGAUAAGUUAGUAUAAAUCAAUGCAAUAACCUUGUUAUUCUCUACUGUAGCAAAUCACUAAAAUUAUUAUUUAGCAUUUCAUACUAAAUGCCUCUGCAUAUUUAAUAAUCCUAUCCUCAAAUAGAAUCAUUAAACAAGCAAACAUAUGCAAACAAUGCAAACAUAACAGCAAUCUAUCUAAACAGAACAGUCUGUAAAGGAUGCAAGAGGAAUCAUACUUUCCUAACUCCAAAAAUUCUGAAAUAUUACCAUGCUGUAGAAAAUUUGUUGUCACUCAUUCCGUAAAAAUUUCAAGAUUUUAUCAUGUGCUGACUAUUCACAAAUAUUCAGACAAUGAUAGGAAACUUUCUGUUUUCAAAACAGCAACAUAUAGACUUGCAAAAUAAGCAUGGUAAAGGCUAUUCUUGACCUUUUUAUUGAACUAAAAAAUGAAAAACAUUACUAUAAAUAACAGCAAGCAAAUCCUAAUAAAAUAAAAUGAUGCUCCAACCAAAACUCAUAUCAUGUGGUGAAUAAAAAUAUAGCCUCAAGUAAUUUUACUGAUGGAUUAAAGACAAAAGAGGGGAUGCCAUCUGGGGCAUCCCUAAGCUUAGUUGCUUGUGUGUUCCUUGAAUAUUACCUUUGGGUUCCUUGGGAAUCCCCAAGCUUAGGCUCUUGCCACUCCUUAUUCCGUGGUCCAUCAAAACUUCACCCAAAACUUGAAAACUUCACGACACAAAACUCAAGAGAAAACUCAUAAGCUCUGUUAGUAUAAUAAAGAAAAUCACCACUUAGGUACUGUUGUGAACUCAUUAUAAUUUAAUAUUGGUUUUAUAUCUACUGUAUCCCAACUUCUCCAUGGUUCAUACUCUCUGAUACUACUCAUAUAUUCAUCAAAAUAAGCAAACAACACAAUGAAAACAUAAUCUGUCAAAAACAGAACAAUCUGUAGUAAUCUGGAAACUUCGUAUACUUAUGUAACUCCAAAAAAUCUAAAAAUUAGGACAACCUCGGAAAUUUGUAUAUAAAUCUUGUGCAAAAAGAAUCAGGAUUUUAUAACGCUUCUAUAAAAAAUGAAAAUUAUUUUACUGGGCGCAAAAGUUUCUGUUUUCAGCACGAUCAAAUCAACUAUCACCAUAUAGAUCAUCCCAAAGGUCUUACUUGGAGCUUUAUUGAAACAAAAGCUAUAAAACAUGAUUAAUACAGUAGCCUAAUCAUGUUAACUCACAAAAACAGUAGGUAUAAAUAUUGGGUUGUCUCCCAACAAGCGCUUUUCUUUAAUGCUUUUUUUAGUUAGGCAUGAUGAUUUCAAUGAUGCACUCAUAAAAGAUAAGAAUUGAAGCAUAAUGGGAGCAUCAUUGAUGACCCACAAGUAUAGGGGAUCAAUUGUAUAUCUUUUUGAUAAGUAAGAGUGUUGAACCCAACAAGGAGCGCAAGGAAAUGACAAGUGGUUUUCAGCAAGGUAAUGUCUGCAAGUGCUGAAAUUGUAAGUAGCAGAGUAGUUUGAUAGCAAGAUAAUUUGUAACGAGCAAGUAAAGAUAAUAGUAGAAAAAGUGCAGCAAGGUAGCCCAAUCCUUUUGAGGCAAAGGACAAGCCAAAAUGGUCUCUUAUCAUAAGCAAAGCAUCCAUGAGGGUAGACGGGAUUUUCAUCUAGUCACUUUCAUCAUGUUGGUUUAAUUUGUGUUCGGUACUUUGAUAAUUUGAUAUGUGGGUGGACCGGUGCUUAAGUUUUGUUCUUACUUGAAAAAACAUCUACUUAUGAUUAACCCUCCCGCAAGCAUCCACAACUACGAGAAAAGUAUUAAGAAUAAAUUCUACCCAUAGCAUUAAACUUUUGGAUCCAAUCGGUCCCUUACGGAAUAGCGCAUAAACUGGGGUUUAAGCUUCUGUCACUCUCGCAACCCAUCAUCUAAUUUCUACUCCCCAAUGCAUUCCCUUAGUCCCAAAUAUGGUGAAGUGUCAUGUAGUCUGUGUUCACAUGACACCACUAAGGGAAUCACGCCAUACAUACUAUCAAAAUAUCGAACACAUAUCAAGUUCACAUGAUUACUUGCAACAUGAUUUCUCCCGUGACCUCAAGAACAAAAGUAACUACUCACGAACGAUAAUCAUGCUCAAGAUCAGAGGGGUAUUAAAUAGCAUAUUGGAUCUGGACAUAUAAUCUUGCACCAAAUAAACCAUAUAGUAAUCAACUAUAAGAUGUAAUCAACACUACUAGUCACCCACAUGCACCAAUCUAUACUUCCGGUAACAAGAUUGAACACAAGAGAUGAACUAGGGUUUGAGAUGAGAUGGUGCUGUUGAAGAUGUUGAUGGAGAUUGCCCUCCUCAAGAUGGAAGAGUUGUUGGUGAUGAUGAUGACAAUGAUUUACCCCUCCGGGAGGGAAGUUCCCCCAGCGGAAUUGCUCCGUCGGAGGGCAAAAGUGCUCCUGCCCAAUUUCUGCCUCAAGACGGUGGCGCUCCGUGCCGAAAGUCCUCUCCUUAUUUUUUUCUAGGUCAAAAUGACUUAUAUACCAAAAGAUGGGCACCGAAGGUGGGCCUGGGUGAGCACAACCCAUCAGGGUGCGCCUGGGCUCCCUGGUGCGCCCAGGUGGGCUGUGUCCACCUGGUGGGCCCCCUCUGGUAGUUAUUUGCUCCCAUAUUCCUCAAAUAAUCCAUAAAAACCUCCAUGAAGUUUCAGCUUGUUUGGAGUUGUGAAGAAUAGGUGGCCUGACGUAGCUUUUUCCAGGUCCAGAUUUCCAGCUGCCGGAAUUCUUCCUCUUUGUGUAUACCUUGCAUAUUAUGAGAGAAAAGGCAUUAGAAUUACUCUAAAAAGCAUUAUUAUGGAUAAAAAAUUAUAAAUAACAGUAAGAAAACAUGAUGCAAAAUGGAUGUAUCAAUCAUGAAGCAUAUGACUAGCACAUUUAAGUCUAGCCCACUUCCUAUGCAUAGGGAUUUUGUGAGCAAACAAUUUAUGGGAGCAAGAAUCAACUAGCAUAGGAAGGCAAAACAAGCAUAACUUCAAGAUUUUCAACACAUAGAGAGGAAAAUUGAUAUUAUUGCAAUAUGUAGAAGCAUAUGUUCCUCUCCCAUAAUAAUUUUCAGUGGAAUCAUGAAUGAAUUCAACAAUAUAGCUAUCACAUAAAGCAUUCUUUCAUGAUUCAUAAGCAUAGAAAUCUUACUACUCUCCAGAUAAGAAAAUUUAUUCUCAUGAAUAGUAGUGGGAGCAAACUCAACAAAAUAACUAUCAUGUGAGGCAUAAUCCAAUUGAAAAUUAAAAUCAUGAUGACAAGUUUCAUGGUUAUCAUUAUUCUUCAUAGCAUACAUGUCAUCACAAUAAUCAUCAUACAUAGAAACUUUUUUCUCAUAAUCAAUUGGAACCUCUUCCAAAAUAGUGGAUUCAUCACUAAGUAAAGUCAUGACCCCUCCAAAUCCACUUUUAUCAAUAUUGUAAUAAGAUUCAACACCCUCUAAAAUAGUGGGAUAAUUAUUAUCUAAAGUUGACACUCUUCCAAACCCGGUUUCAUAAAUAUUGCAAUCAUCAUAAGUAGGAGGCAUGGUAACAUCAUAAUAAAUUUGUACAUAAAAACUUGGGGAGCUAAAAAUAUCCUCUUCAUUAAACAUAGCAUCCCCAAGCUUGGGACAAACAUUAAUUGCAGCAAAUAAAUUCUCAAACAUGUCAUUCUCAUCAAACAUAGCAUCCCCAAGCUUGUGGCUUUGCAUAUCAUAAGCAUAAUCACUCUCAUCAUUAAUAGUAAGAAUAGCACCAAUAGUAUAACAAUUAUUAUCAUCACUACUUUCUAAGUUGGUGCCAAAAAGAUUUCCAAGAUUAUAAGAAGUAUCAUUAUUUGCCCAAUCAUAAUCAUCACAAUGAGUAAUAGGCAUAACAAAAUCAUCCUCAAUAGUUUCUCCGGACAUUGUACCAUAAGACAAAGAAUCACAAUCAUCAUCGAGCGUAUCAUCUUCCAUAUUUAUUUUUGAUUCAUUCUCAUGAGGCAUAACAAUAAUAGGAGCAACAUCACUUGGGAGGAUACCUUUUUACCUUUGCUUCUCCUGCUUUUCUUUUUCUUCUCCACAUCAUGUGUGGGUUUAAUCAACUUUUUGGAGCUCCUCAUUGAUGAGAUUGGUUGCAUAGGAAGCUCAUUCUCGUAACCUGCUUCAUCACGAGAAACAAUAGGAAGAAAAGUGGAGAGCUUUACCCUUUCAUUAGUAUUUCCUUUAUAUUCUAUUGGUUUUCCCAUUUUUCUAUACUUGGAAAUAUAAGCAUUCUCAUUGUAAUUUACCACACAAAACAUAUAGAUAUUUUUAAGAGUAGUUUCAGCAUGGUCGGUGAAUAUGAACGCUUCGAACCAACUAUUUGUAUGUGACAACUCUUCACACCCCCAAAAUAAACAAAGUUCAUUAUAAAGUUCAAGGGUGAUCGAGUUAUUGCAAUAUUUCUCCCCAAUUCGAUCAUGAAAAAGUAUGCAUUGAAAAUUAAGAUGACCAACUCUAUUGCAAAGUUCACAAGUAAUGGGAUGAAGAGAGCAUAAUUUUGUAGAAAAUUUAUCUAUCACCUUAAGCCACCGAUUGGUUUCAUCAUGUUUAUGCUUCUUACAAAAUCUAUCAUCCCUAUAAGGCAUGUCUUCACAAAUUCUAUUCACUCCACAAAAAUUGACGUGCUUAUAAGAAACAUUUUUAUCAUGACUAGUGCAAUCAUCAUUAGUAUCAUGAAUAUUCAUAGCAAGCACACUAACAACAUUGCGAUCAUAUCUACCAUUCAAAGAUUUAGUGCCAAACAUUUUAUUGACUUCUUCUUCUAGCACUUGAGCGCAAUUUUCCUUACCAUCAUUUUCAUGAAAGACAUUAAAAAGAUGAAGCAUAUGAGGCAACCUCAAUUCCAUUUUUUUUGUAGUUUUCUUUUAUGGACUAAACUAGUGAUAAAACAAGAAACUAAAAGAUCCUAUUACAAGAUCUAAAGAUAUACCUUCAAGCAGUAACCUCCCCGGCAACGGCGCCAGAAAAGUGCUUGAUUCUACUAUGCAACCUUCUUCUUGUAGAGUCGUGUUGGGCCUCCAAGCGCAGAGUUUUGUAGGACAGUAGCAAAUUUCCCUCAAGUGGAUGACCUAAGGUUUAUCAAUCCGUGGGAGGCAUAGGAUGAAGAUGGUCUCUCUGAAACAACCCUGCAACCAAAUAACAAAAAGUCUCUUGUGUCCCCAACACACCCAAUACAAUGGUAAUUGUAUAGGUGCACUAGUUCGGUGAAGAGAUGGUGAUACAAGUGUAAUAUGGAUGGUAAAUAUAGGUUUUUGUAAUCUGAAAAUAUAAAAACAGCAAGGUAACUAGUAACAAAAGUGAGCAAAACGGUAUUGCAAUGCUUGAAAACAAGGCCUAGGGUUCAUACUUUCACUAGUGCGAGUUCUCUCAACAAUGACAACAUAAUUAGAUCAUAUGGCAAUCCCUCAAUGUCCGACAAAGAGUCACUCCAAAGUUCAUUUCGUGGAGAACAUAAGAUGAAAUUGUUUGUAGGGUACGAAACCACCUCAGAGUUAUUCUUUCUGAUCAAUCCAUUGAGCUAUUCCUAUAAGUGUCACAAACAGCCCUAGAGUUCGUAGUAAAAUAACACCAUAUGACACACAUCAAUCAACCCUAAUGUCACCUAGAUACUCCAAUGUCACCACAAGUAUCCGUGGGUCAAUUAUACGAUAUGCAUCAAACAACUUUAGAUUCAUAAUAUUCAAUCCAACACAAAGAACCUCAAAGAGUUCCCCAAGAUUUCUAUCGGAGAAACAAAGAUGAAAACGUGCAUCAACCCCUAUGCAUAGAUUACCCCAUUGUCACCUCGGGAAUCCACGAGUUGAGUGCCAAAACAUACAUCAAGUGAAUCAAGAGAACACCACAUUGUCACCAAGGGUAUCCCACUACUGGAAUCAGGAUCUUUGCCAUUAGCUAGCUCUUUGUCGUCAGCUAGCUGAUGGCAAACAAGGUAUUUGCCAUCAGCAUACAGAAAGCUGACGGCAAAGAAAGAGCGGACGGCAAAGAGCAUGUUUAUCAUCAGCUAGCUCUUUGCCAUCAGCUAGCAGACGACAUAGAAGCUUUGCUGUCAGCUAGCGGACGGCAAAGAGGGAGGGUGGACCACUAGUGAGAACCACCUAACGGCCACUUUCUUUGCCGUCUGCUAGCUGACGGCAAAGCUUCUUUGCCGUCCGCGAGCAGACGGCAAAGCUUCUUCGCCGUCCGUGAGCAGACGACAAAGAAAGUGGAAACCUAACGGUCGUUUCCCCCUGUCCCCACCCCACUAGCUACGCUCUUUGUCGUCUACUAGCAAAUGGCAAAGAAAUUAAACCUAACAAAAAAAUUGUCGGCCCCGCGCACCACCCCUCUCUCUCUUCCUCACCUCACCCGUGCCACCCCGGCCCCCCACCGGCCUGUGACCCUGACGCCGUCGACCCCCCGACGCCUAUGCCACCCCGCCGCCCUCGCCGCCCGCGCCACCCCGACGUCGUCGACCCCCCGNNNNNNNNNNNNNNNNNNNNNNNNNNNNNNNNNNNNNNNNNNNNNNNNNNNNNNNNNNNNNNNNNNNNNNNNNNNNNNNNNNNNNNNNNNNNNNNNNNNNNNNNNNNNNNNNNNNNNNNNNNNNNNNNNNNNNNNNNNNNNNNNNNNNNNNNNNNNNNNNNNNNNNNNNNNNNNNNNNNNNNNNNNNNNNNNNNNNNNNNNNNNNNNNNNNNNNNNNNNNNNNNNNNNNNNNNNNNNNNNNNNNNNNNNNNNNNNNNNNNNNNNNNNNNNNNNNNNNNNNNNNNNNNNNNNNNNNNNNNNNNNNNNNNNNNNNNNNNNNNNNNNNNNNNNNNNNNNNNNNNNNNNNNNNNNNNNNNNNNNNNNNNNNNNNNNNNNNNNNNNNNNNNNNNNNNNNNNNNNNNNNNNNNNNNNNNNNNNNNNNNNNNNNNNNNNNNNNNNNNNNNNNNNNNNNNNNNNNNNNNNNNNNNNNNNNNNNNNNNNNNNNNCACGCCACGCGGACGCCCUCGUCGGCCGCGCCACCCCGACGACCAUGCCACCCCGAUGCCCCCGACGCCCUCGCCGCCCCACCGCCCCCGCCGGCCCGGCGCCCUGUCGCCUCGACAACCAGGUGGCCCGCCGUCCCAACGCCCUAGCCGCCCUCACACCCCGCCGCCCCGGUGCCCCGCCGACCCACUCCGAUGAGCUUCCCCCUGUUUUUUUAUUUUUUUUCUACUGCUUGUAAUUAGGUUAGUUUGUACUGUUAGUUUCUUUUUUCCUACUGCUACUAAUUAGGUUAGUUAGUACUGUUAGUUAGGUUAGUUUGAUUUUCUAGGUUAGUUAGGUUAGUGUCAUUCCUCUCAUGUCUUCUUUUGUCAGAUUUUGUAGACUGAAUUUUAUGGCGAAAUGUUAAUCGGGCUAGAAUUUUUCAAAUGGGCUAUCCUUUUGGUGGAUCUUGAGUUGCUUACUGCUACUUGUUCGAUCAUAAGCAUAAUCCUAUUUGCCUAGAGAGCAUUGUCUAACGGCUCAACCAUUUGUUAUGAAACUCUUUAAAUAUUCUUAUUUGAACUCAGGAUCUGUGUAAUGUUUCUGGUUGAUUUUUCUUUCCUAAUUGGAGAUUGUUGUCUAUGGAUCCCGGCGAUGACUUGUGAUGUUAAAAUGUAGUGGCCUGAUUCAUACAUUGAUGAGAUCUAUAUUAUCACUCUGAGUGAUCUGUCCGACAACAUAUCCAACUUUUUUAUGUUUGUGUUUUUUGGGUGAAAUUUCUGUUAUUUGGACACAAAUGUUCAUAAAUUGUUUAUUUGCUUUGAUCUUUGUUGUUAAUUGAUAUGUCUCUGUCGUAUCUACUUUUCCAAACACUUUUGCCCUUGUUUUGGACUCUAACUUCUAUGAUUUGAAUGGAACUAACCCGGACUAACGCUGUUUUUAGCAGAAUUGCCAUGAUGAUGUUUUAUGUGCAGAAAACAAAAGUUCUCGGAAUGACCUGAAACUCCACGGAAUAUCUUACGAUAAAUAAUAAAAAACCCUCGCCAAAGAUGAAGACCAGGGGGCCCACACCCUGUCCACGAGGGUGCCCCCCCUAGGGCGCGCCCCCCUACCUUGUGGGCCCCCUGGAGACCUCCCGACUCCAACUCCAACUCUAUAUAUCUGCUUUCGGGGAGAAAAAAUAGGAGAGAAGAUUUCAUCGCAUUUUACGAUACAGAGCCACCGCCAAGCCCUAAAACCUCUCGGGAGGGCUGAUCUCGAGUCCGUUUGGGGCUCCGGAGAGGGGGAUUCGUCGUCGUCGUCAUCAUCAACCAUCCUCCAUCACCAAUUUCAUGAUGCUCACCGCCGUGCGUGAGUAAUUCCAUCGUAGGCUUGCUGGACGGUGAUGGGUUGGAUGAGAUUUACCAUGUAAUCGAGUUAGUUUUGUUAGGGUUUGAUCCCUAGUAUCCACUAUGUUCUGAGAUUGAUGUUGCUAUGACUUUGCUAUGCUUAAUGCUUGUCACUAGGGCCGAGUGCCAUGAUUUUAGAUCUGAACCUAUUAUGUUUUCAUCAAUAUAUGAGAGUUCUUGAUCCUAUCUUGCAAGUCUAUAGUCACCUAUUAUGUGUUAUGAUCCAUUAACCCCGAAGUGACAAUAAUCGGGAUACUUACCGGUGAUGACCGUAGUUUGAGGAGUUCAUGUAUUCACUAUGUGCUAAUGCUUUGUUUCGGUUCUCUAUUAAAAGGAGGCCUUAAUAUCCCUUAGUUUCCAUUAGGACCCCGCUGCCACGGGAGGGUAGGACAAAAGAUGUCAUGCAAGUUCUUUUCCAUAAGCACGUAUGACUAUAUUCGGAAUACAUGCCUACAUUACAUUGAUGAAUUGGAGCUAGUUCUGUGUCACCCUAUGUUAUGACUGUUACAUGAUGAACCACAUCCGGCAUAAUUCUCCAUCACCGAUCCAUUGCCUAUGAGCAUUCCAUAUAUUGUUCUUCGCUUAUUUAAUUUUCCAUUGCUAUUGCUAUCAUCACUACAAAAUACCAAAAACAUUGCUUUUACUACCAUUACCUUUUGCUACCGUUAUCACUACUAUCAUAUUACUUUGCUACUAAACACUUUGCUACAGAUAUUAAGUUUCAAGGUGUGGUUGAAUUGACAACUCAGCUGCUAAUACUUGAGAAUAUUCUUUGGCUCCCCUUGUGUCGAAUCAAUAAAUUUGGGUUGAAUACUCUACCCUCGAAAACUGUUGUGAUCCCCUAUACUUGUGGGUUACCAAGACUAAUUUCUGGCGUCGUUGCCGGGAAGCAUAGCUCUAUUCUUUGAGUCACUUGGGAUUUAUAUCUGCUGGACACUAUGAAGAAUUUGAAAGACGCUAAGACAACAAUUUAUCCCUCAACUACGAGGGGAGGUAAGGAACUGCCAUCUAGCUCUGCACUUGAUUCACCUUCUGUUAUGAGUAAGCUUGCGACACCUAAACCUGCUUCUGCUAUUUGUUCUGAUAUGUCGCAUGUUAUUGAUGAUGCUACUUCUGCUAUACAUGAUACUUAUGAUGAAACUACUUCUAUGCUUGAUACUACUGUGCCACUUGGUGAUUUUCUCGAGGAACGACUUGUUAGGGCUAGAGAGAUUGAAAAUAUUGAUCUGAUUAUGAUGAUGAAAGUGAUGAUGAAGAAUCACUUGUUAUUCCUGAGGGUUAUUUAUUUGAUCAAGAAGCUUCUUUAGCUAUUUUAGCUUGCAAAGGUAGAUAUGAACUCAAAAGGUUAUUAGCUAAAUGGAAUAAGCAAUCUCCAAAUGCUAGGAUGAAACCUGACCCUCCUUUUGCUACUUCACCUAUCUGUGUUACUGAUAAGGAUUAUGAAUUCUCUGUUGAUCCUGAUAUAAUUACUUUGGUUGAAUAUGAUCCUUUUCAUGACUAUGAAUCUAAAACUGUUGUGGCACAUCUUACUAAAUUAAAUGAUAUAGCCACCCUGUUCACUAAUGAUGAGAGAUCUCGCUACUUUUAUAUCCUUAAAAUAUUUCCAUUCUCAUUAAAGGGUGAUGCUAAGAUAUGGUUUAAUUCUCUUGAUCCUGGUUGUGUGCGUAGUCCCCGGGAUAUGAUCUAUUACUUCUCUGCUAAAUAUUUCCCUGCUCAUAAGAAACAAGUUGCUUUAAAGGAAAUAUACAACUUUGUGCAAAUUAAAGAAGAGAGUCUCCCACAAGCUUGGGGGAGGCUUCUCAAGUUACUUAAUGCUUUGCAUGAUCAUCCUCUUAAGAAAAAUGAAAUACUUGAUAUCUGUUAUAAUGGACUAACCGAUGCUUCCAGAGAUUACCUGGAUAGUUGUGCUGGUUCUCUUUUCAGGGAAAGAACACUGGAUGAAGCUGAAAUCUUAUUGAACAAUAUGUUGACAAAUGAAAAUAAUUGGGCACCUCCUGAGCCAGCUCCUGCUCCAAUUAAUGAGCCCAUUCCUAAACCAACUCCGAAGAAGAGAGGUGUUCUAUUUCUCAGUCCCGAAGAUAUGCAAGAGGCAAAGAAAUCUAUGAAAGAAAAAGGUAUUAAAGCUGAAGAUGUUAAGAAUUUACCUCCUGUUGAAGAAAUACAUGGUCUUAAUUUACUACCUGCCGAAGAAACAUAUGAUCUUGAUCCUUUACUUAUUGAAGAACCUCCAGACCUCGAUAACCCGACACAGGUAGUAAAGGUAAAUUCUCUCUAUAGAUAUGAUAGAGCUGAAAUCCCUCCUACUAAAAUUGCUAGUCAGUGCUUGGAUGAGUUUGAUAAUUUUAUGUUUAAGCAAGAAGACUCCAAUGCUUAUUUUGGUAGACAAUUAAAACAAGAUGCUGAUAUGAGUAAAUACUUGGGUGAUUAUAUGGCUAAUAUUAGAGGUGAACUUAAACUUGUUAGCAAACAUGCUUCUAUGGUUACCACUCAAGUAGAACAAGUACUUAAAGCUCAAAAGGAAUUGCUCAAUGAGAUGAAUAGUAAGAAAAAUAAUUAUGUUGUUAAAGUGGCUACUAGAACUGGUAGAAUGACUCAGGAACCUUUGUAUCCUGAAGGCCACCCUAAGAGAAUUGAGAAAGAUUCUCAGAGAAAUAAUAUUGAUGCACCUAUUUCUUCUAAAAAGAAGAAAAAGAAAAAUGAUAGAACUGAGCAAACUUCUAGUGAACCUAUUGCUGAACCACCUGAUAAUCCAAAUGAUAUCUCUAUGUCUGAUGCUGAAACACAAUCUGGCAAUGAACAUGAACCUAAUGAAAAUGUUAAUGAUGAUGUUCAUAAUAAUGCUCAACCUAGUAAUGAUAAUGAUGUAGAAAUUGAACCUGUUGUUGAUCUUGAUAACCCACAAUCAAAGAAUCAAUGUUAUGAUAAGAAAGACUUUGUUGCUAGGAAACAUGGUAAAGAAAGAGAACCUUGGGUUCAGAAACCCAUGCCUUUUCCUCCCAAACCAUCCAAGAAAAAGGAUGAUGAGGAUUUUGAGCGCUUUGCUGAAAUGAUUAGACCUAUCUUUUUGCAUAUGUGAUUGACUGAUAUGCUCAAAAUGAAUCCUUAUGCUAAGUACAUGAAAGAUAUUGUUACAAAUAAAAGAAAGAUACCAGAAGCUGAAAUUUCCACCAUGCUUGCUAAUUAUACUUUUAAGGGUGGAAUAUCAAAGAAACUUGGAGAUCCAGGAGUACCUACUAUACCAUGCUCCAUUAAAAGAAACUAUGUUAAAACUGCUUUAUGUGAUCUUGGAGCCGAUGUUAGUGUUAUGCCUCUCUCUUUAUAUCAUAGACUUGACUUGAAUAAGUUGACACCUAUUGAAAUAUCCUUGCAAAUGGCUGAUAAAUCAACUGCUAUACCUGUCGGCAUUUGUGAGGAUGUGCCUGUUGUGGAUGCAAACGUUACUAUUUUAACGGACUUCGUUAUUCUUGAUAUUCCCGAGGACGAUAGUAUGUCUAUUAUUCUUGGAAGACCUUUUCUUAAUACUGCAGGGGCUGUUAUUGAUUGCAACAAAGGCAAUGUCACUUUUCAUGUUAAUGGUAAUGAGCAUAGGUACAUUUUCCUAGGAAACAACCUCAAGUUCAUAGUAUCAAUUCUAUCGGAAAAAUUCCAUCAAUUAUAUUUGGAGGUUUUGAAUUUCCUCUUCCUACUGUCAAGAAGAAAUAUGAUAUACUUAUUAUUGGGGAUGUGCAUAUCCCCGUUGAGGUAACCUAGUGUUAUUCGAAAUUUCUCUGGUUUCAUGUUAAUCGGAAUGAGUGUGUUAACAAGACUUGAUCAACCUUGUCAGUGGAUUCCUUUUGAUGAGCAUGAGAUGGAUGAAACUAGAAGCACAACCUUCUGUACCCUCUCUAUACUUUCUGUUAUUUAGUUGAAAUAAAGUAAAAAUAAAUAAUUUUCUGUCUGUUAUCUGAUUAUCCGUGCAAUAUAAAAAUAGCUCAAAAAUAAAAGUUCUCCAAAUGCCCUGAAAAUUAGAUAUGAUUUUUUCUAGAAUAUUUGAGGAUUUAUGGAACAAAGAACACACCAGGGGGGCAACCACCUUGCCACGAGGGUGGAGGGCGCGCCCCCUGCCUCGUGGGCCCACGAUGGCCCUCCUCCACUUAUUCCUGCACCCAUCCUCUUCUUCUUCCUCCCACAAACAUGAAAAACCAACUCAAGCACGAGUUCCAGCCCUCUUUGCUGCCAUUUUCGAUCUCCUUGCUCAAAGCACCUCUCACAAAACUGCUUGGGGAGAUUGUUCCUUGGUAUGUGACUCCUCCAUUGGUCCAAUUAGUUUUUGUUCUAGUGCUUUAUUCAUUGAAAAAAUUUGCUGCUUAGGUGACCCUGUUCUUGAGCUUGCAUGUCAAAUUUAUAUGGUCAAAAGUAGUUUUGAUGCAUGAUAUAGGCCCUAGGCACUUGUAGGAGUGGUUGCUAUCAAUAUUAUUGAGUUUGGUUUACUUUUAUUUUGAAGUUACUAAAAAUUUCAGAAUUUUUCAGAAAAUGAUGAGGAGAUUAUUGAGGGGCUCAUCGAGCCAAAGCUCGAAGGAAAAGGAACCGAAGCCUAAGUAUAAUUUGCCGCGCACCGCGGAGGUUCGGGCAUGUGAAUGGCCUUCCGAGGAUUUAUUGAGAGCAGCCGGGAUUUAUGAAGAUUUUCAUGAGUUGGCUCGUAAUGCAGGCCUCACCGCUUUCCUCCACGACCAAUGCGAACAGUAUCUCUUACUCACAAAUACCUUUGUGCAAAACUUUCAUUUUCAUUCUAGGAACUCACCACCUACGGUGGAGUUUCAUUUAUAUGAUGAGCAUAAGGAGAUGUCACUUUAUGAUUUUUAUCGGAUUUGUUUAGUCCCUUUUGAGGGCAAGACAGAAGAACCACAUCGUGAUGGUGUGGAGGGAUUUAUUGAUACUAUCAUUGUAGGGGAAACUAGGAAGGUUUCCGAUGCACGAAUCACUAGCAUACGUUUUCCUGUCUUACGUUACUUUGCAUUAUUUGCUAGUCGUUGCUUAAUUGGUCGCGGAAACUGUGGAAACCUUAGUAUCCCUGAUAUUAUUAUUUUGGUCCAAGGUUUAUACAGUGAUAACACUUUUAGUAUGGGUGGUAUUAUUGCUAAAUGGUUAAGUCUGAACUGUACAAAGGGCCCCAUCUUUGGAGGCAUCUAUGCUACACGCCUAGCUGCACAUUUUAACAUACCUAUUAGGCAUGCUGAGAAGGAAGAAAAAGCAUUGGCUCGUGUUUAUCUAGAUUAUAAAAGUAUGGUGGCACAUGAUUUUAUUAUUAAGAAUAGGGCAGGAGAGCUUAAAUAUCAAUUAUUCUUUAAUAAACAUCAUCCUGAGACUAUUACAUUGCCUGCUCCUUCUUUGUUUGAUUUGACUGUAGGCACGUACCUUGUUCCGUUGAUGGCUAUUCACGCCUACCGGAACCCUACACCAGCCGAGGAGCCAGAACCGGAACCACAAUUUGAUCCUUCACGACAGUCUAACUAUCAGUGGGAUCCGGAGAUGAUUGCCAGCCAGUGGCAUCGGAGCCUUCUUCUUCCUCAUCGCAGUACGACCCCAACUAUUAUUAUGGAUAUCUGUCAGGCCAGCCGUGGCCAUAAACCAACUUAGGCCAAAAGCCUAAGCUUGGGGGAGUACGUAUUUCUCACCGACAUUACAUUUAUGUUCGAACACACUCAUUGCUAGAUGUCGGUGUUCAUACUUUUUCAUUGUAUCAUCCAUACUAGUUUAUUUCCUUUUAUGCUUUCUUCUUGUGUGUUUAAUAAACCUUAAGAAAAACAAAAAUUAGUAGUAGUUUACUUUUCUUGCUGUAGUAAUAAUUAAAAAUAAAACCCAAAAAUAUUUCCCGUUCUUCUUUUGCUUGUUGGGAGCUUUCCCGUGUAAAUAGUUUUAUUUCUUUUCUUUGGGGGUCAGUAGGAGAAGACCAUGAUUAAAUUGUUGAAGUGGCUCGUAUAUGCUUUAUUGUUGAUUUAACCAAGAUCCCAUAUUGCUUUGUCUUCUCCUGUUUAUUGAAUGCUCGCAGAUUCCAGCUUAGUCCAAUGCACAUGCACUCUUAUUAUUAUUCACAUCGUUCUGUCGUGCAAGUGAAAGGCAAUUAUGAUGAUAUAUGAUGGACUGACUGAGAUGAGAAAAGCUGGUACGAACUCGGCCUCUUUUGUUUUUGUAAAUAUGAUGAGUUCAUCAUUCUUGAUUCAGCUUGUUAUGAAUAAACAUGCUCGCAAUGACAAUUAGAGAUCAUAGUUGCUUAUGCCACGCUUGAUUAGCUAUGAGUUAUAAUGGUUUACCUUGCAUGCCAACAUGCUAUUGAGAUGGUUAUGAUGUGGUAUGAUGGGGUGGUAUCCUCCUUUGAAUGAUUUAAGUGACUUGACUUGGCACAUGUUCACGCAUGUAGUUGAAACAAAUCAACAUAGCCUUCACAAUAUUUAUGUUCAUGGUGGAUUAUAUCCUACUCAUGCUUGCAUCCAAUGUCUAUUAAUUUUAAUGCAUGUACAUGGCUGUUGUCGCUCUCUAGUUGGUCGCUUCCCAGUCUUUUGCUAGCCUUCACCUGUACUAAGCAGGAAUACUGCUUGUGCAUCCAAUCCCUUAAACCCCAAAGUUAUUUCAGAUGAGUCCACUAUACCUUCCUAUAUGCAGUAUCUACCUGCCGUUCCAAGUAAAUUUGUAUGUGCCAAACUCUAAACCUUCAAAUAAUCAUCAUGUUUUGUAUGCUCGAAUAGCUCAUGUAUCAACUAGGGUUGUCUGUAUCUUCCAUGCUAGGCGGGUUAUUCUCAAGAGGAGUGGACUCCGCUCCUCACUCACGAGAAAAUGGCUGGUCACCAGGAUGCCCAGUCCCAUGCUUUAUGCAAACUAAAUCAAAAAUAAUUGCAAAACAAAACUCCCCCUGGGACUUGAUGUAUGUUGGAGGCACUCGUUGUUUCGAGCAAGCCAUGGAUUGAUGUUUGUUGGUGGAGGGAGAGUAUAAACUUUACCAUUCUGUUUGGGAACCGCCUAUAAUGUGUGAAGCAUGGAAGAUAUCGCCAUCUCUUGGUUGUUAUGUUGACAAUGAAAGUAUACCUCUCAAAAUAUUAUUCACCUCUAUUUCAAAACCGAGCUCUGGCACCUCUACAAAUCCCUGCUUCCCUUUGCGAAGGGCCUAUCUAUUUACUUUUAUGUUGAGUCAUCACCCUCUUAUUAAAAGCACUAGCUGGAGAGCGCAGCUGUCAUUUGCAUUCGUCACUAUUAAUUUAUAUUGGGUGUGACUAUGAUUGGAUAUCUUUUACCAUGAAUUACAAUGUCUAGUCAGUCCUUGAUAUUUAAAGGUGCUCUGCAUUUAUGUUUUGCGGUCUUAGAAAGGGCUAGAGAGAUACCAUCUUGUUAUAUCAUAUUAUGAUUGUUUUGAGAAAGUGUUGUCAUCCGAGAUUUAUUAUUAUGGCUUGCUAGUUGAUUAUGCUAUUGAUAUGGGUAAUCAUGGGACUUGAGAAUUAUUGCAAAUGUGGUUAGUUAUAAUCUUUGCUAAAAAUUUGAAUGCUAGCUUGACAUAUUUGUAACAACAAGAGCAAGCAGAGUUUGUAAAAGUUUUUCUUUAUUUCUUUAAAUUUGUCAACUGAAUUGCUUGAGGACAAGCAAGGGUUUAAGCUUGGGGGAGUUGCUACGUCUCCGUCGUAUCUACUUUUCCAAACACUUUUGCCCUUGUUUUGGACUCUAACUUGUAUGAUUUGAAUGGAACUAACCCGGACUGACGCUGUUUUCAGCAGAAUUGCCAUGAUGUUGUUUUAUGUGCAGAAAACAAAAGUUCUCGGAAUGACCUGAAACUCCACGGAAUAUCUUACAAUAAAUAAUAAAAAAAUCCUCGCCAAAGAUGAAGACCAGGGGGCCCACACCCUGUCCAUGAGGGUGGGGGCGCCCCCCCCCCUAGGGCGUGCCCCCCUACCUUGUGGGCCCCCUGGAGACCUCCCGACUCCAACUCCAACUCUAUAUAUCUACUUUCGGGGACAAAAAAAUAGGAGAGAAGAUUUCAUCCUGUUUUACGAUACGGAGCUGACGCCAAGCCCUAAAACCUCUCAGGAGGGCUGAUCUGGAGUCCGUUCGGGGCUCCGGAGAGGGGGAUUCAUCGCCGUCGUCAUCAUCAACCAUCCUCCAUCACCAAUUUCAUGAUGCUCACCGCCGUGCGUGAGUAAUUCCAUUUUAGGCUUGCUGGACGGUGAUAGGUUGGAUGAGAUUUACCAUGUAAUCGAGUUAGUUUUGUUAGGGUUUGAUCCCUAGUAUCCACUAUGUUCUGAGAUUGAUGUUGCUAUGACUUUGCUAUGCUUAGUGCUUGUCACUAGGGCCCGAGUGCCAUGAUUCCAAAUCUGAACCUAUUAUGUUUUCAUCAAUAUAUGAGAGUUCUUGAUCCUAUCUUGCAAGUCUAUAGUCACCUAUUAUGUGUUAUGAUCCGUUAACCCCGAAGUGACAAUCAUCAGGAUACUUACCGGUGAUGACCGUAGUUUGAGGAGUUCAUGUAUUCACUAUGUGCUAAUGCUUUGUUCCGGUUCUCUAUUAAAAGGAGGCCUUAAUAUCCCUUAGUUUCCAUUAGGACCCCGCUGCCAUGGGAGGGUAGGACAAAAGAUGUCAUGCAAGUUCUUUUCCAUAAGCACAUAUGACUAUAUUCGGAAUACAUGCCUACAUUACAUUGAUGAAUUGGAGCUAGUUCUGUGUCACCCUAUGUUAUGACUGUUACAUGAUGAACCACAUCCGGCAUAAUUCUCCAUCACCGAUCCAUUGCCUACGAGCUUUCCAUAUAUUGUUCUUCGCUUAUUUACUUUUCUGUUGCUAUUGCUAUCAUCACUACAAAAUACCAAAAACAUUGCUUUUACUACCGUUACCUUUUGCUACCGUUAUCACUACUAUCAUAUUACUUUGCUACUAAACACUUUGCUGCAGAUAUUAAGUUUCCAGGUGUGGUUGAAUUGACAACUCAGCUGCUAAUACUUGAGAAUAUUCUUUGGCUCCCCUUGUGUCGAAUCAAUAAAUUUGGGUUGAAUACUCUACCCUUGAAAACUGUUGCGAUCCCCUAUACUUGUGGGUUAUCAUUAAUUUUUGGUUUAAAAUCUUUCUCUAUGAAGAGAGUAUAAGCAGAUCUUUGUUGCUAUCUGGACACUUUUGCUUUGAUCUUUAGACUAGGUUAGUUAGGUUAGUUUCUAGGUUAGUUAGGUUAAUUAGUUUGUAGGUUAGUUAGGUUAGUUUGUAGGUUAGUUAGGUUAGUUUUGUUAACCAGUUCUAGUUUUAGUUUUACUAAUUGCUACUCCUAGAAAACAACCAUGUAAAUGAUUAGGAUUAGGAUGCAUAUACAUCCCUUUUCUUUUGUUUCCUGAAAAUCAGAAAAGAAAAAGAAAAGGCAGGUUUACUCAUCAUUUGUCAGUUAGUUAUAAAAUGACCUAUACUUAGCAUUUCUUCCUACUAAAUGACUUAAUAUGCUUAGUUAGCUAAAAACAAACAUAACUACCUAGGAUAGCUCAAUAAUGAUCUAUACUUAGCUUAGCUAGUUCAUUUAUGACAUAAUUAGCUCACUUGGGGAAAAUGGCAUAAUAACCUAGGUUUAGCUCCAAAAUGACAUAGGCUUAGCUUAUUUUCCUCGAAAAUGACAUAAUAACCUUACUUAGCUCCAAACUGACAUACUUUACCUACGAUAGCUAUAAGAUGACCUAUACUUAGCAUUUUUUCCUACUAAAUUACUUAAUAUACUUAGUUAGCUAAAAACAGGCAUAACUACCUAGGAUAGCUCAAUAAUGAUCUAUACUUAGCUUAGCUAGUUCAUUUAUGACAUAAUUAGCUCACUUGGGUAAAAAAAUGGCAUAAUAACCUAGGUCUAUCUCCAAAAUGACAUAGACUUAGCUUAUUUUCCUCGAAAAUGACAUAAUAACCUUACUUAGCUCCAAACUAGCAUACUUUACCUAGGAUAGUUAUAAGAUGGCCUAUACUUAGCAUUUUUUCCUACUAAAUGAGUUAAUAUGCUUAGUUAGCUAAAAAAUGGCAUAACUACCUAGGAUAGCUCAAUAAUGAUCUAUACUUAGCUUAGCUAGUUCAUUUAUGACAUAAUUAGCUCACUUGGGUAAAAAAAUGGCAUAAUAACCUAGGUUUAGCUCCAAAGUGACAUAGAGUUAGCUUAUUUUCAUCAAAAAUGACAUAAUAACCUUACUUAGCUCCAAACUGACAUACUUUACCUAGGAUAGCUAUAAGAUGACCUAUACUUAGUAUUUUUCCUCCAAAAUGACAAAAUAUGCUUAGUUAGCUAAAAACAGGCAUAACUACCUAGGAUAGCUCAAUAAUGAUCUAUACUUAGCUUAGCUAGUUCAUUUAUGACAUAAUUAGCUCACUUGGGUAAAAAAUGGCAUAAUAACCUAGGUUUACCUCCAAAAUGACAUAGACUUGGCUUAUUUUCCUCGAAAAUGACAUAAUAACCUUACUUGGCUCCAAAUUGACAUACUUUACCUAGGAUAGCUAUAAGAUGACCUAUACUUAACAUUUUUCCUACUAAAUGACUUAAUAUGCUUAGUUAGCUAAAAACAGGCAUAACUACCUAUGAUAGCUCAACAAUGAUCUAUACUUAGCUUAGCUAGUUCAUUUAUGACAUACUUAGCUCACUUGGGUAAACAAAUGGCAUAAUAACCUAGGUUUAGCUCCAAAUUGACAUAGACUUGGCUUAUUUUCUUCCAAAAUGACAAAAUAACCUUACUAAGCUCCAAACUGACAUACUUUACCUAGGAUAGCUAUUAAAUGACCUAUACUUAGCAUUUUUCCUCCAAAAUGACAAAAUAUGCUUAGUUAGCUCAAAAAUGUCAUAACUACAUAGGUUAGCUCAAAAAUGACCUAUACAUAGCUUCUUCUGUUCAUUUAUGACAUACUUAGCAUACAUAGGUAAAAAAUGGCAUGAUAACCUUAGUUUAGCCCAAAAUGACAUAGACUUAGCUUAUUUUCCUCCAAAAUGACAAAAUAACCUUACUAAGCUCCAAAUUGACCUAUUUGCCUAGCUUAGCUCUAAAAUGACCUACACUUAGCAUUUUUACCUAGCUUGGCUAAAAAAGGGCAUUUUUACCUACCUUAGUUAGAAGAAGAAGAAGAAGAAGAAGAAGAAGAAGAAGAAGAAGAUAAAGAAGAGGAGAGGAGAAAAAGAAAGAGAAGAAAAAUUCUUGUUUUUCUUAUUUUUCUUCUUCUUCUUCUAACUUCCUUCUUUCCCAAUUUGCAGAUUUGCUUUAGAUGAGGAGCUUGCGUUCAUGGAGUCCACUCUUCUCCUUGUGCUUCUUUUAUGUUUUUGGAAAGUUGUUGCAAAAUUGUUGUUGGAUAUGUAUGUAUGGAUGAAACCAUUUUGUGUUGGAUAUGUUGUUGGAUAACUUGUUGUUGGAAACUUGUUAUAUAUAUAUAUAUGUUGUUGGAAACUUGUUGUAUAUAUGCUGUUGGAAACNNNNNNNNNNNNNNNNNNNNNNNNNNNNNNNNNNNNNNNNNNNNNNNNNNNNNNNNNNNNNNNNNNNNNNNNNNNNNNNNNNNNNNNNNNNNNNNNNNNNNNNNNNNNNNNNNNNNNNNNNNNNNNNNNNNNNNNNNNNNNNNNNNNNNNNNNNNNNNNNNNNNNNNNNNNNNNNNNNNNNNNNNNNNNNNNNNNNNNNNNNNNNNNNNNNNNNNNNNNNNNNNNNNNNNNNNNNNNNNNNNNNNNNNNNNNNNNNNNNNNNNNNNNNNNNNNNNNNNNNNNNNNNNNNNNNNNNNNNNNNNNNNNNNNNNNNNNNNNNNNNNNNNNNNNNNNNNNNNNNNNNNNNNNNNNNNNNNCAAGAAAAAAAAUAGGGGUUGUACAAGCUCCUUGUCGUCUGCUGGCAGACGGCAAAGAGCUUUGCCAUCUGCCGGCGGACGGCAAACCUGCCACAUGGCAGCUACCUGUGCAACCUAGGGGCACUAUAGCUGGCCUAUUUGGUUAGUUUGUCGUCUACUGGCAGACAGCAAAGACCUUUGAUUCCUUGCCGUCUGCUGGCAGACGGCAAAGACCUUUGAUUCUUUGCCCUCCGCUGGCAGACGACAAAGAUGAAAAGGUCUUUGUCGUUAGCUGGCAGACGGCAAAGCACGUCGUUAACCCCCUAACGGAACUAACCUGCCACGUGCGCCGUCCAUGCCCUUUGCCGUCUGCCAGCGGACGGCAAAGGCCUCGAGAUCUUUGCCGUCAGCCAGCAGAUGGCAAAGAAGCCUUUGUCGUGGUUCGUUCAGCCGGACUGUUUGUUGUCUGUUGGCUGACGGCAAAGGUCUUUGCCGUACGCUAGUCAUGCCUUUGCCAUCUGCCAUGGCAGACGACAAAGAUCCUGAUUCUUGUAGUGUCCCAUGCAAGACAUACAUCAAGUGUUCUCAAAUCCAUAAUAGUAUUCAAUCUGAUAAUAGUGAAACCUCAAAGGUAAAACUCAAUUCAUCACAAGAAAGUAGAGGGGGGAAACACCAUAUGAUCCAACUAUAGUAACAAAGCUCUCGGUACAUCAAGAUUGUGUCAAAUCAAGAACACAAGAGAGAGAGAGAGAUCAAAUACAUAGCUACUGGUACGUACCCUCAGCCCCGAGGGUGAACUACUCCCUCCUUGUGAUGGAGACCGUCGGGAUGAUGAAGAUGGCCACCGGUGAUGGUUUCCCCCACCGGCAGGGUGCCGGAACGGGCUCCCGAUUGGCUUUUCGUGGCUACAGAGGCUUGCGACGGCAGAACUCUCGAUCUAGCUUUCUUUCUGGGGGGUUUCGUGAUUUAUAGGAAUUUUUGGUGUCGGUCUCACGUCAGGGGGGUCCACAAGGCAGCAGCAAGACAGGGGGCGCACCCUCCACCCUUGUCAUUGCCUCGGGACUCUUCUGGCCCAACUCUUGUGCUUGGUGGACUUCUUCUGGUCCGUAAAAAAUCAUUGUAAAUUUUCAGCUCGUUUGGACUCCGUUUGAUAUUCCUUUUCUGUAAAAACUCAAAAAUAAGAAGAAAACAUAAACUGGCACUAGGCUCUGGGUUAAUAAGUUAGUCCCAAAAAUAAUAUAAAAUAGCAUAUUAAUUCAUAUAAAACAUCCAAAACAGACAAUAUAAUAGCACGAAACAAUCAAAAAUUAUAGAUACGUUGGAGACGUAUCAGCUCUCUCUCUCGCUCUCUCUCUCUCUCUCUUUCUCGUGUUCUUGCCCUCAAACCCGCGGAUUUCUAUCUCUUUGCUCGAAGCUCCGUUUUUGAAACUGUUUUGGGGGAUUGCUAGUUGGUAUGUGACUCCUCCAUUGCUCCAAUUAGUUUUUGUUCUAGUGGUUUAUAUUUUGAGUAUUUAGUUACUCUUGGUGUUGUUGUAAAUGAGCUUGCAUGUUGAGUUCUUUGAGUUCUAAGUAGUUUGAAUGCUUGAUAUAGCUUCUAGACAUCCAUAUGAGUAGUUGUUAUCAUGACAUCAUUUUGUGAACCAAAAAUUUCAGAAAUUUGUUCGCGAACAAAAUGCACGUCUUUAGGAGUUCUUCGAGGAGGAGGUCCUUAGAGGUAUCAUCGAGCAGGAGCUCGAUAUGACAGUCCUAUGUUGAGCCAAGUGCAAGCUCAAUGUGUGACACCGAUACCAAAUCAUGCCUAUGGUCAUGUAACGAAUUCAUGGUAGGUGUAGGCAUCAAGGAAGAAUUUGAGCAGUAUGUUCAGAACACCGAGUUGGCCCCCUUCAUUGCAGAUAAGUGCAUUCAACAUCUCAACCUCACACAGACAUUCACUAAGAAAUUUAAAUAUCAUUCCCGUGAUUCUAGAGUUUCAUUUAGCCUUUAUGAUAAUGCCUUCACCAUGCCUUUAGAAGAGUUUUGUGUUGCAUGCAAAAUUCCAUAUUGGGGUUAGCUGGACGAACCACCAAAAUCUGAGUAUGAAACAUUUUAACUAGUCUAUGUUAUGGUGAGGAUAGGGGAGUGACUCAAGCUAGAAUAAAAAGUAUACAAUUUCCAUCAAUUCGAUACUUUGCACUCUUUAAUUGAAAAUGCAUCAUGGGCAAACAAGAUUGUAGUACCUUGUGUGCCCCAGACUUUAGCCUCAUACACACUGCUUUAACAGGAACUAAACGCUAUACUCUUGGAGCGAUCAUUGCACGGAGGUUGCAACGCAAUGCUGAUAGUGGUCACUUUUAUGGUGGGAUUUAUGCCUCCCAUAUAGCUAAGAAGUUGGGUGUGUCACCUUGGCCUAAUGAUUCUAUCUUACCUACCCAGUACUUAGACUUUGAGGCCAUGCAGCACCAUAAGUUCAUUAAGGCCACAACCACUAAAUAUAAUUACAACUUGAUGUUUAAUAAAAAACCAUUGUACAUGUUAUUUUGCAUGCACCUGCUCUCUUUGAUUGCCAGAAUAUAGGAAGAUACUACAUUUAUGAGAGCGAGGCGCGCCAGUACAACGCGGCAGUCGAGGCUGCUCGACAGGCUGAGGAGGCCGCACCAAGAGCCUCCGUGAGUUAUCACUCUGACUAUUAUCUAGGCCUGGGAUGGUGAUUACCAAGCUAGGACAAAUCCUAAGCUUGGGGGGGUGCGUAUUUCCAUCGACAUUACAUUCAUGUUCACACAUUUCAUUUCAGUUGUCGGUGUUCACACUUUUUAAUUGUAUUAUCCAUGUUAGUUUUGUUUUCUCGCUUCCUUCUUGUGUAUUUGAAAAUUGUUGAGAAAAAACAAAAAUAUUUGUUGCUGAAAGUGCUAGUGAUCGACUAGAGGGGGGGGUGAAUAGGCGAUUUUUAUGAAGGUCUUCAAAACAUGGAAGUUUCGAAGACAAAUGAUAGAAAUAAACCUAUUACCAUGCAGCGGAAGGUAGACUACACUAGGCAAACCAUAGUCAAGUAUUCAAUGAAGUGAAAGCACAAUGACUAAUAGCAGCUAAGCAGUAAAGAUCAGGUAGGAAGAUAUUGUGAAGCCAAUCAGAACAAGCAGUCACUCAGUGAAGACAUAAGAUAAUGCAAUCAUACAAUGACUUCACAAGGACCUACAGUAAGUAAAGGGAAGGGAAGGAUGAAACCAGUGACUCGUUGAAGACAAUGAUUUGUUGGACCAAUUCCAGUUGUUGUGACAACUGUACGUCUGGUUAGGGAGGCUGAGAUUCAACUCAGAAGACCUCGUCUUCACCUUAUUCCCCUUGAGCUAAGGACACCCAGUCCUCGCCCAAUCACUCUGGUAAGUCUUCAAGGUAGACUUCCAAACCUUCACAGACUUCGUUCACCGGCGAUCCACAAUGACUUUUGGAUGCUCAGAAUGCGACGCCUAACCGGCUGGAGGAUUCACAGUCCUCAAGUGUAAUAAGUCUUUAGAUCACACAGACAGGAAGACUUAAGUGAUGCCUAACACUCUUUGGCUCUGGGUGUUUAGGGUUUUGUCCUCGCAAGGAAUUCUCUCUCAAAGGCUUCGAGGUGGGUUGCUCUCAAACGACAAAAGCCGUACUCUAACUCUGAGCAGCCAAGCGUUUAUGGUUGUAGGGGGUGGGCUAUUUAUAGCCACUAGGCAACCCGACCUGAUUUGUCUGAAAUUACCCUGGGUCACUAAGGAACUGACACGUGUUCCAAUGGUCAGAUUUCAAACACACACGGCAACUUUACUUGGGCUACAAGCAAGGCUGACUUAUCCAACUCUGGACAAGAUUUGCUCUCAUAGUCUUCACUCGAAGACAUUGGAUUUUGGUUAAGCAUCACAUCAGUCAUUCUGACUGGUUCUCUUGGACCCCACUUAACAGUACGGUGGUUCCUAUGACUCAACAAAGAAGAAAAAGAACGACGAAAGAACUAAGUCUUCGCGCUCCAUAGUCUUCAUGCGAUGUCUUCUCUUGUCAUAGUCUUCAAUGUGAAUGUCUUCACAUACCACCUUUGACUUCAAUGUCUUCUUACAUUUUUAGGGGCCAUCUCUGGUAGGAAAACCGAAUCAAUGAGGGACUUCUACCUGUGUUAUCCUGCAAUUCUCACAAACACAUUAGUCCCUCAACUAGGUUUGUCGUCAAUACUCCAAAACCAACUAGGGGUGGCACUAGAUGCACUUACAAUUGCUUCUUUUCAGUUUUAUUUCUAUUUUAGUUUAAUUGUAGUAUUAAAAGAAAACCCCAAAAGAUUUCCCAUUUCUUCCUUUGUUUGUUGGGAGCUCUCCCGUGUAAAUAGUUUUUCUCGUUUUCGUUUUUCUUUCUUUAAGUUGCUUUCUUUAAAAAAAUAUCAAAUCAAAAACUCCAAAAAUAUUUUAGUGUGUUUCUCUAAAAUUCUUUUCUUUUGUUGAGUCGUACUAAUUAAGAAGAAGAGCACGAUGAAAAUGUUGAGUGGCUCUCAUAUGCAUUAUUGUUGAUCUAACAAAUAGCCCAUAUUACUUUGUCUUCUCUUAUGAAUAAAAUGUUUGCAGAUUCCAGCUACUCCACGGCACUCUUGCACUGUCAUUAUUUUCAUAUCAUUUGGUCGUGCAAGUGAAAGGCAAUAAUGACGAUAUUUGUUCUGUCAAAAGAAUAAUGACGAUAUUUGAUGAAGUGGAUGUGGUAGGGAAAAGCGGGUAUGAACUCAACUUGUUUUUGUUGUUGUAAAUAUGUUUAACUCAUUAUCCAUGAUUCCGCAUAUUAUGACCGCACAUGUUUGCAAUGAAAAUUAGAUAUUAUAGGUUUUCAUGCCAUGCUUAAGUAGCUAGGAGUGGAUAAUGAUUUAUCUUAGGUGUCAACAUGCAUUAAAAUGAUUGUGGUGUAGUAUGAUGAUAUGGUAUCCUCCUCUGGAUGUUUCAAGUGGCUUGACUUGGCACAUGUUCGCACAUGUAGUUGAUUCAAAACCAACAUAGCCUCCACGUAUGUUCAUGGUGUCUAUAUCCUACUCAUGCUAGUAUUCAAUCUUAAUUGUUCAUAAUGCAUGCUCAUGACCGUUUUCGCUCUCUAGUUGGUCGCUUCUCAACCUAUUUGCUAGCCUUCACCUGUACUAAGUGGGAAUAUUGCUUGUCCAUCAAAAUCCUUAAACCAAAGUCAUUCCAGAUGAGUCCACUAUAUCUACCUAUAUGCGGUAUUACCCUGCCGUUCCAAGUAAAUUCGCAUGUGGCACCUCUAAAAAAUCAAAUGAACAUAUGUUUUGUGUGCCUGGACCGCUCAUGGAUUAGUAUCUCCCAUGCUAAGUGGGUUAUUCCCAUGAUGAGUGUUUAUUCACUUGUCCUUGCAUGAGAGGGGCUGGUAAUCGGGAUGCCCAGUCCCAUGUUCAAAUAUUGCAAAUAAUUAAACAAAACUCCCCUGGGACUGUUGUUGGUAUGGAAGGCAUCCAUGGAUUCGGCUAGCCAUGACUUGUGUUUGUUGAUGGAGGGGGGGUAAACUCGAAUUUUAUCGCUUGGAACCGCCGCUACUUUGUUUAGCAUGGAAGAUAUUGAAAACUCUUGAUCGUAACAUUGAUAGGAAGGGUAUACCUACCAGAAUUAUAUUUAUCUCUGAUUUAAGCUUUCAGCUCUAGCACCGUUGCAAAUCCCUGCUUUCCUCUACGAAGGGACUGUCUAUUUACUUUUAUGUUACUUUACGUUUAUGUUGAGUGAUCACCUUCUCAAACAAGCUCCAAUCCUGAGAGCACUAUUAUCAUCCUCAUGCAUUGUAUAUAGUUAAUGUUGAAUGCAUCGUGACUGGAUCUCUUUUACCAUGAAUUACAAUGUUUAGUCGUUGCUUAAAAUUUGGGGGUGUUCUGCAUUUAUGUUUUGCGCUCUCAGAAAGGGCUAGCGAGAUACCACUAUUGUCAUACUAUAUCAUGAUUUUUUUUGACAAAGUGUUGGCAUUUGAGAUAUCUUAUUAUUGCUCGCUAGUUGAUUAUGCCAUUGAUAUGAGUUAAUAUAAUUUCUAAGAGUUAUUGUUUGCAUGGUUAGUCAUGGUCUUUGCUGAAAACCUGGGUGCUAUUUAAGCAUAUAUAUGACACAAGAACAAAAGAGUUUGUAAAAGUUUUUCCUUAUCACUUUUAGUUUAUCAACUGAAUUGCUUGAGGACAAGCAAUGGGUUAAGCUUGGGGGAGUUGAUACGUCUCCAUCGUAUCUACUUUUCCUAACGCUUUUCCUCUUGUUUUGGACUCUAAUUUGCAUGAUUUGAAUGAAACUAACUCGGACUGACGUUGUUUUCAACAGAACUACCAGGGUGUUGUUUUUGGGCAGAAAUAAAGGUUCUCAGAAUUGGACGAAACUUUUUGGAGAAUUAUUUUGGAAUAAAUAAAAAUACCGGAACCAAGACCCACUGGAGGGGGGCCCAUCUGCCCACUAGGAAUCAGGGUGCGCCACCCCCCUCUAGCGCGCCCUGGUGGGUAGUGGGGCCCAUGAGGCUCCGCUGACCCUAAUUCCAAUUCUAUAAAUUCCUAUUUUUGGUGAAAAAAAUAAGAGAGGAAGUUUCAUCACGUUUUACGAUACGAAGAUGCCGCAACUCCUGUUCUUCAUUGGGAGGCCAGAUCUGGAGCCCGUUUGGGGAUCCGGAGAGGGGGAUCUUCGGUCUUCGUCAUCACCAACCAUCCUCCAUCACCAAUUUCACGAUGCUCACCGUCGGGAAUGAGUAAUUCCUUCGUAAGCUUGCUGGACGGUGGUGGGUUGUAUAAGAUUCAUCAUGUAAUUGAGUUAGUUUUGUUACGGCUUGAUCCCUAGUAUCCACUAUGUUCUGAGAUUCAUGUUGCUAUGACUUUGCUAUGCUUAAUGCUUGUAAAUAGGGCCCUAGUGACAUGAUUUCAGAUCUGAACCAUUUAUGUUAUCACCAUUAUAUCUAUGUUCUUGAUCCGAUCUUGCAAGUCAUAUGCACCUAUUACGUUUUGUGAUCCGUAAACCCCAAGGUGAAAAUAAUUGGGAUACUUCCCGCUGAUUAUCGUAGUUUGAGGAGUUCAUGUAUUCACUAUGUGCUAAUGCUUUGUGCCGGUUCUCUAUUAAAAGGAGGCCUUAAUAUCCCUUAGUUUCCUUAUGGACCUCACUGCCACGGGAGGGUAGGACAAAAGAUGGCAUGCAAGUUCUUUUCCAUUGAGUGUAGAAACAAAGCCUAAUUGAGAUAUAAAGUCGACUGGAUCAGUCAUGAAGCUUGUAUCAAUGUUACCCUUUACAAUGAGCUCUUCAACAUCUCCAUACAUUAUGAAUAUUUCCUAAGUCCUAUUAAGAUACCUUAACUGAUAUCCAAUAAUCCAUUCCCGAAUCACUCUAGUACCUACUCGUAACAAUAAGAGCAUAGGGACAUCCGGAUUUGUACAUAUCAUAGCAUACAUGAUAGAUCCGAUUGCGGAAGCAUAUGGAAUGUUCUACGUCUAUACUCACGCAUCAGUCGUCUGAGGACACUGACUCUUGCUUAACAUUGUGCCAUGUGACAUCACAAGAACCCUUUCAUUGUGUUUUUCAUAUCAAACAUCUUUGUACUUUGUCAAUGUAUGUGCUUUGACUCAACCAUGUUAGCAAAUUAUAUAUCGCUGUAGAUUUUUGUGCCCAACAUGUACGCUAUUUCACUUAAGUGCUUCAUCAAACAAAUAUUUUUCAAUGAAUCGGUUAUCGUGUUACAGUUUGUUGCUUAGGUCUCAAUCAACAAUAUGUCAUCGAUAUAAAGUAUUAGAAAUGCUAUUGUGGUCCCACUUACUUUCUUGUAAACACAAGUCCCUUCAGCAUUAUUGCUGAAGCCAAACCCUUUGACCACUUCACCAAAAUGAAGAUUCCUAUUCCUUGAUGCUUGCAUUAGCCCAUAGAUGAAUCUCUGAAGUUUCCACACCUUUCAGCAUCAUUAGGAUUAACAAAACACUCGGGUUGUAUCACAUGUGUACAUCCUCGGUUAAAUUUUCAUAGAGAAAAUCCAUUUUAACGUCCAUCUACCAUAUCUCGUAGUCAAAAUAUGCAGCAAUUGCUAGAAUUAUCUGAAUGGACUUAAGCAUUGCUACAGAUGAGAAGUUCUCGUCAUAGUCAACCACUUGUGUGUUGAAAAUCCUUCAUGACAAGCCGAGCUUUAUGGAUGAAAAUAUUUCAUCCGCAUUUGUUUUCCUCUUAUAGAUCCAUUUAAAUUAUAUAGGUCUAACACCUUCCGAAGGGUAUUCCACAUUCCUAACUUGAUUAGUGUAUAUGGAGUCUAUCUCAGAUUUCAUGGUUUCGAGCCAUUUCCUAGAGUCAGGGCCCACCAUUGCAUCUUUUGUAAUUUGUAGGUUCAUCAUUGUCUAACAAGAAAACUUCAUCGUCAAACCUCUGUAGCAGAGAACGAAUCCUUCAUGUUAUGUGUGGUUCAGCUACAAUCUCGACCAAAGUUUCUACAUCACAUGUAGAAGCUUCCGUUUCAGUCAUAGGGGUGCUCUCAAGAACAUCUUCAUGUGUUUCGGUCCUUUGAUCUGAAACCAACAAUUCCUAAAUUGUAUCGAGUUGUAUUGUCCCCCCACUCACCUCUUCCGCAAGAAAUUCUUUCUCGGGAAAUACUAUGUUUUUUGCGACAAACAAUUUGCCUUGGUUUUGAUGAUCAAAUUAAUACGUAACGACAUAUUCGGGGUAUUCGACAAGGUAACAUUUCUUUGAUUUAGAGUCAAGCUUAUUCAGUUGUAAACGUUUUACAUACGUGUCGCAUCCCCAAAUUUCAAAAGAUUUUGGUGACAAACUAUUCAGUGUAAAAGCAACGGUUUAUAAAGUAUAAGCCCAAAAAGAUAACGAUGGUUCAUAUAAUGUCAUCAUCGAUUUUACCAUGUUAACAAGGUUCUAUUAUGUCUCUCAGACACUCAGUUUCUCUAUGACAUUCUGGGUGACGUAAGUUGUGAAACAAUUCAAUGGAUCUUCAAAUGUUCGCUAAACAUGUAACUCAAAUAUUCUCAUCCGAGAUUUGGUCCCAAAAACAUGAUGUUCUUGUUACGAUGAUUUUCUACUUCGUCCUAGAAUUAUUUAAACUAUUCAAAAGUUUUAGACUUAGGUCUCAUGAAGUAAAUAUAACCAUAUCUACUUAAAUCAUCAAUGAAAGAUACAAAGUAAAGAAAUCCGCGGAGCGUCGCUACACUCAUUAGACCGCAUACAUAUGUAUGUAUGACUCCAACAAGUCACUCGGACGUUCCAUUUGUCAUGUGAGCAACGAUUUCAUCAUUUUUCCAUCAGACAAGACACAGUUUUUAAAUCAUUCAUAAUCAAAUCCCUCAAAAGUCCAAACUUAUGGAGUUUCUUCAUGUGUUUCUUUCCAAUAUGACCUAGAUGAUAGUUGCACAAUAAUGUGGUAUUUGUUUUACCAGUCAUCUUAAGACGUUUAAUAUCAAUGUUAAAGAUAUGAGUAUCAACAUUGAGAUUCAAAAUAAACAACCCGUUCACAAUAAGUGCACAACCAUAAAAUAUAUUAUUCAUAUAAAUCAAACAAUUAUUUUCUAACUUAAAUGAAUAACCCUCUCGCAAUAAACAUGAUCCUGAUAUAAUGUUCUUGCAAAGGCUAGAUAUCCUAAUGGUAUAUGUAGAGGUAGAACGUUGACAGCUUUCACAAAACUCUUACUCUAUUCCCGACAUACAUUUGCACCUCAUUCUUUGCUAGUCUUCAAGGCCUUCAUAAUUCCUGCAUGCAUUUGCAAAAUGUGAGCAACCAAUCUGGUACUCUCUAAUACCAAAAAGAUAUUAGAUGAGGACUAGAAAGAACAACAUCAAUCAUACAUGAGCUUGACUUUCCAGUCUUCUUCUUCUCUGCCAGAUACUUCUUGUAGUUUCUCUUUUAGUGACCCUUUUGCACAAAAGGAGCACUAAAUAUAUGAAGGGGUGCACCUUUAGGGUUCCCAUCUAUGUAAGUCUUACCGGCACCCUUGGACUUGCCCUUCUUCUUGGUAUUGCCCUUCUCAAACUGACAUUUUGUUCAUCAUCAUCACAUGAUUGGUGUUCUUUUGUAUUACACAUUUUGCAACCUUGCGCAUGUUGAAAAAAUCAUUUACGCUGUUGUCCAACCCAUUCACAUUAUAGUUCAUGAUAAAGCCAUUAUAUCUAGGAGGGAGAGACGCGAGGACAAGACCAGUGCGCAAAGAAGCGAGGUCAGAAAUCCUAAAGAUUCCAACCCCUUUGCACAUACCCUGCUAACUUGAGUAGGUGUUGGCUCACUGAACUUCCCUCUGCCAUCUUGCAUCAAACAUGGACUUAAAGACCUCAUAUCUCUCAGCCCAUGCUUGUUGGUGAAACAAAACUUCCAUCUCCACUUUCAUCUCAUAAGCACCAUAGUUUUCAAAAAGUUUCUGAAGUUUUGGCUCCAUGGAUGCAAGUAUGAUACAUUGUAAUGCUACAUAAUCGUCACUUUUUGAUUGAUAGAUAUUUCUUUCAUUCUCAGUGGCGUUGUCACCUGGGGUGUCAACGAGAGCUUUUUGUAGAACAUAUUCUUUAUUAACACUCUUGAGGACAAUCUUUAGAUUACGAAACUGAACCAUAAAGUUACUGCUAAAUGCAGACAGCUGUUCUUUCUCAAGCAUUCGUGCUAAGUUGAAGGUGGUGUUGUGUGUCAUUUACUCUACAACAAAAUAUGCAAAUUCACUGAGACAUUGUCUAUAAUUAAUGCAACUCAAUUUAACAAUUUUAACUAUAAUAUGCUUCCACUAAAAUCAAUAUUGUCUACUAUUAAAGGAGAUUUUGUACGUUCACUUCCUCACUUCUAGUUAUGAUCGUCCUCCCCACCUCCUUGUACCACUAAUUUUUCGUUUUUUCCAAGUUCCCCAUGUUCUUUUUUGCACUAAAAAAUAGCAUGCUAUAGCAUGUAGAGAAUUGUCUCGUUAAAUAAAUCGGUGUACAGUGUCUCGCUAAUAACAUGCUAUAGCAUGCUAAUAGCAUAAUUUAAGGGGUGGUGCUAUUUUGUAUAGUGUUGGUUUUUUCUUUUUUGCCUCUUGUCCCAGUUCUUCUCCCGGUCCGCACAAUUUUCUACACCUCCACAUCUCCCAUCCCACCGAUGGCCUCCACCACUUCCUCAUUCCUAACCCCUCUUCGUUGCUCAGCAUUACCAUGCCACUCCCCCAGGUUGUCUCAUCUCACUGCGCCCACUACAUCUUUCGUCCAAGAUCAUUCAACUGAUGUCCCCCUCUAUUCUCUCCUAUCAUACUACCGUUGUUCUCUCCUCCCCAGCACCUCCCCAUCAUGAGUGUGUCACACAGGCGCUGCGAGGUCCAGUGGGCGGCGACGACGAAUAAGAUGGCAUGGUGGCUCUGUGACGGUGGUGCGGCCUCUGUCGUGCGCUCGACCUCACUCAUGCACCCCCUGCCAAGGCUUGAUCUCCCAUCAUUCCUCCCCAACCAUCUCACCCACCUCCCUACCCACAUCAUCAUGCUCUCCAACGGUGUCCGCGUCACCUCCAAGGAUGUCCCGGUAUUACCUCACCUUCCGCCAUCCUCCUUCUGAUGAUAGGUUUAUAGCAUCGUAUGAUGCGACAUUGUCGAUCUCCGAUGACGCUCCGUGUGGUGGAUUUCCAAAUUUGUCAUUAUGCGUGUGGCGUCAGGCUCGAUCAACUAGUCGACUGAAUCCGUCGGCGUGACGCACCUGCUAGAGAAGUUGGCCUUCAAUGACACGAUGCACCAGAUCCACUUGCAGAUCUUGUAGGAGGUGGAGGCCAGGGCAACGUCGUCCACGCGUUGGCAUCCAAGGAGCAGAUGGUGUAUAGCUAUUGUUAGCAUGGAAUAGAGGGAUUGGUGGAAUUUUUGUUUAUUGCUUGAUCCUCAUGGACAUAUAUAUAGGAGUACAAGACAAGGCAGGACCAAAUCCUAGUCGAUCCUAUACUUCCUAAUAAUCAUAAUACUCAACAUCUCCCAUAGUCAUAACGGUAGCGACGCAGACGGUGAGACUAGAGAAAAUCAGAAGGCAAGCCAACAGACCCCCCCCCCCCACACACACACACACACAUACACACAAACACAGUUGUAACGGUCGAUGUGUCACAGAAAUCGUGGUUAGAGUGGAAACCUAUGAGUUUGCUCAAGCAAGGCAGUAACCCUUUGUGUUGCAGUCAUGGUCGAGGUAGCCGUGUGAAGAAUGUCGUGGUCGAUGUCGAUAUGGGGUGGCCAGUGUCGAGGAAGUCAUUGUGGAGCCGUGGACACACGGAGGCACCGAGUUAGUCAUGGGUGCAGUGGUGUCAAAGUAGUGGUGCACCGGAAAGAAGACGCUGUUGACGAGGCAUCGCACCGGUUUGCCAAACCUGGGGAUACGUUGUAAACAAAUGCACGCAUUGGUGUUGCCAGCACUGGGCAUGCAUAGACGGACGAAGACGAAGUUGAUGAAGUGUCGCACCAGGCUUGCCAGGUCCGGGGACACGUCGUGGAUGAAGACACACAUCGGUGUUGUCAAUACUGGGCAUGCGUAGAUGAGGGACCUGCACGAGUUGUACCCCAUGUCAAGGAGUUGUAGGGGCUAGCAGAGAAGAAGACUCGGCGAUGGUUCUGGCGCCAAUUGGCGUGGGGCCGAUGUCACUGACGGUGCUCGGAGUAGACUAAGUUGUCGGGGAAGAUGACAGCAACGCUGGCGACAAGCUGGUGUUGGACGAAGACGAAGGGGGUGGACGGGCGGUGGCUACGGGGGUAGCAACGGCGGUGGCCGAAGAAGAGCAGCAACGACGGCCUAAUGGCGGCAGUGGCGGCGAGGUUAGGAGCGCGGCGGCGGUGCUCGAAGUAGGCGAGGAACCCAACAACAUGACGAAGACCAACACAGACGGUGGCAUUCCCGCGCCAAGGGAGGCGGCACGGCGCAUACCAUGGGAAGUCGACGUGCGGGGAAGGCGGAGUGGACCGUGGGCCAUGGCGCUACGGCCCGAAAGGGCGACGCAGCAGCGGGAAGACCUCAGAGUUGCGGCGUGUACCGCAUGCCAUGGCGCUACGGCCCGAAGGGUGGCGCAGCGGCGGCGCGCGGGUCGGUGCAGCCACGGGAACGGCCUCGGGUGUAGGCGGGGACCACGUGCCACGGUGCUACAACCCAAAGGGGCGAUGCAGCAGUGACGCGCAAGUCAUGCUACCGCAGGGAGAACCACGGGGCAGCGACACUACGGCCCGAUGUGGCAAUUAUCCCAAGAACAUGAUAGCUCUUAGUUUUGCAUUCCCCAUGAACAUGGCUUGCUGCUUGGAAGCUCCCAUUUACAUACUUUUUGGUAGAAUGGUCAUUUACAUAGAGUGAACACAUCUCAAAAGCAUUACAUGAUAUCAGUUUGCUUUUUAUACUUUUGUCGUUUUCUUUUGUAUAUACUUUCACUUUUCCAUUGACUAGUAAUAAUAUACGUGCAAUGCACGUUUAUAUUAAGUAGGAUACUGGUUGCACGUUAUAUUAGGUAAGAUAUCUCUGUUGCAUGUUGCUAUUUGGUAAGAUAUCAAUUACUUUUUCGCGGGAACGGUAAGAUAUUAGUUACAUGGAAAAUUUCAAGGGAUAGUGUUGAGUCAAAACGUGUUUAUAACCAAUAGCAGUGGUGGAUAAUUAGAGUGUUAAACAUAUUUGGUGCUCAACAUUGGAAUGAUUUGAAUCGCUAGAUAACAUGAUUUGACAGUCGAGAUGAUUUGGAUCUGCCCAUUUGGGUCUUUUUAUAUUGGUAUAGAUAUAGAUGUAAGCUCGGCAGAUUCUAGAUAUUAACAGUUUGACAUUAUAAUACUCUGUUGAUCGGCGCUAAAGUAAUUCUAUUAAAUGCAUAAUAUAUGGUGCCAACCACAAUAAGAGAUGUUAUUGUAAUCAGCAUGUUCUAAUUUUACAACUUUAUUUUCAAACUAUGGACCAUUCUUGUUUGCAGGAAAAUGCUGCAACAAUUUCAUGCAAUGUUGUUCUCACCAUAUGGUUGUUCUGAUAUUCUCUACAAUUCAAUGAAUAUGUUUUAAUCAAAAAAGCGUGAAGAGUUGCAAUUUCAAAAAAAAUAUUGCAAAAAUAUUUUUUUAAUUUUUUAAUGAAUUUUAACUUGUGAAUAUUUUGAAUGUUCUUUUGAAUAGUUUUAAAACUUGAGAAUGUUUUCUUGAAAUCUUGCCCUUUUUCAAUAAUCAUGAACAUAAUUUGAAUUAGAUCCUUCAAAUAAUUUUGGAUCAUUUUAUGAUUAUUUUAUAAACCUUUUUAAACCUGCAGUUUUUUCUAGAAAAAACAAAAAAAAUGCGGUAAAAAAAAGGGCAGCCCCAGUGCAUGUAGCUCCCGCUUGCGCAGGGUCUGGGGAAGGGUCCGACCACUUUGGGUCUAUUGUACGCAGCCUUUCCCUACAUUUCUGCAAGAGGCUGUUUCCAGGACUUGAACCCGUGACCUCAUGGUCACAAGGCAGCAGCUUUACCACUGCGCCAAGGCUCCCCUUCAAAGACCAAAGGAAUUGGAAAACCGAAAAAGACCAAAGGAAAGAGAAAACGUCAAGGUGAAAGCGAGGACUCCACCCAUUACGGAAAUAGAGCGGCCAAACACGCCGAAAUCACUAAUUAAAGAGUACUCGUUGCAAAAAAACACUCCAUUUUCCCAGGUCGCGACAAGUGGCGCACAUGUUGGGACUCUCACUCUACGGGUUUUUUCGUUUCCGAAAGGCACGGCCUUGACUCUCACUAUGCGCUGAUUGUUGCGAAGCUCUCGAAGGAGCGCUCGUUAACUAGUUGCUCUCCAAACACGCAGCCUUGUUGUGCGAUGGGUCUCCAUUAUGACUCAAAGUGUGUCAAUAUAUGCUCGAGUAGCGAGAAUAGCUCCCGUCUCGGUGGGCCACCCCUAUUACUCGCGUUACGCGAGAGGAUGGAAGCCUCGCCUUUGGCCGCCCAGCCGCACGGGAGACCACGGCCUGUUUUUUUUCCUAAAAAAACUAUGUUAUAUGUUCUUGUUUUUUGAUUUGUUUUUUACUUUUCUUUACACUUUAAAAUAUUAUACAUAUACAUAUCUAUAUAUUACAAAAGACACUCUUCAAAACAUAUUUGAAAAUAAUGUUAAACAAGUGUUUAAAAAAUGUUGAAUAAGUAUUAGAAAAUGUUGAGCAAGUAUUUGAAAAAUGUUUAAAAAAACUAUUUGAAAAUGUUGAAUAAAUAUUAAAAAUGCUGGACAAAUGAAAAAUAUUGAAUAAGUAUUAAAAAAUUGAACAAGUAUAUGAAGAUGUUAAACAAGUAUUUGAAAAAUGUUUAAUAAGUAUUGGAAAUGCUGAAAAAUAUUUGAAAUUUUUUGUAAUAAAAGUACUAAAAAAAUGAACAAAUAUUUGAAAAAUGUUGAACAAAUAAUUGAAAAUCUUGAAUAAGUAUUAAAAUGUUGAUUGAGUAUUUGGAAUAAUGUUGGAUAAGUAUUAAAAAAAUGUUGAAAGAGUAUUUAAAGAAUGUUGAACAAGUAUCCGAAAAUGUUGAAUAAGUAUUUGAAAAUGUUCAUCAGUAUUUAAAAAAGUUGCAAAUAUUUUAAAAAUGCUGAAUAAGCGUUCGGACAAUGAAAAAAAUGAAGAAUCAAAAGCAAAAAAAAAGGAGAAGAAGAAAGAAAACAAAAACAAAAAAAGGAGAAAACCAGCACGUCUUUCUUCGAGUGGAUAGCGCCCUUACUAUUAUCAGUUAUCACGGCGCAGUGGCUAGUCACGCUUAGGGAUCAUCCCUGGUACUUCCCUUUUUUAAAAAGAAAACAUUCUGCGUGAAAUGGGCCAGCCGAGUAACAACCAGAGCAGGAAAACUCGAUGCGAGACUUAAUCUGUAGCAUUGCAUCUCCAUCUCCACUGCUAUUAAACAAUCAAACAAGAAUUUUCUUACGUGCACCCCAUAAAACGUACACGGAUUCAUCAUGACCGCAUGAUUAAGCCCACUAGACUUAAUCUAACGGCUAACCUUAAUCUAAUUUAUUCUCUGUGUGCACUUAACAAUUUACAUUGACUGACCGUGCUUCACCAUAUGAAACUUCACGUCCGAUCAAUUAGAAAACUAUAAUCAUGAUUGCGUCUUCUUAGGAAACUAAUCUCAUCGCAUCUUCUUAGGAAACUAAUCACGAUUGUGUUUUAUUAGGAAACUAAUUAUGAUCGCGUUUUAUUAGGAAACUGACCACGAUCGUAUUUUAUUAGGAAACUAAUUGGGUAUUCGCACACAUUGACACGUCCAUCACCUCGACCUCCUGGAUCACGAUCCUAUCUCUCCCAAGAAAAACCACCACAAUCGGCCUCCACUUGGCAUGGCGACAAGGAGCCGAGGACCAACAACUCUUUCUCAGGGGACGCCGUCGGAGUGCCGGUAAUUCUUGAACCGCCGAGGGUGCCGCACCGGUUGCCCCUUCUCAGGGGAUGCCGCUGGAGUGCCAGUAAUUUAUGUUGCUUGUAAGACAACUGCCCAGCCAGCAUUUAUGGUUUCUUGCGAACUUACACGGCGUGCCUGUGCUGACUUGUGUACUUCAAAAUAAGGUUUCUAUGCAUUACUAACCAGAGUGUGCUAUCUUUAUAUCUUCGGUGUUUCUUAGCAAAUGUCGUUUACAUGUGUCAUCAACACAUUAUUUGUUUUUUCUUAAUUUGUAACACUUGUACUGCUGGAGUUGGUUUAUUUUAAGUUGUUACAUUUGGAACUCCUUUCACUUCAUAACGGGGCUGGAUGGUCUAAACUGCAAGAUGUGAUUUUUUUUCUCACAUGAACCAUCUAUAAAUAAAUAUAUUUUUUACUAUUCUUCUACGUAUAAAUACUUUGUGGUCCUUUCGCUGUUCAUUCGGUUAAUGGUUAGGAACUAAUGACCAUCAAAUUAUUUUUAUUGUUUGAUAGUAUUACACACAAGUGGGUGUAAACAAAAACUAUCAAAAAUGGUCAUGACUUGCAUUUUUUUCUUAUUUUCUACAACUGGUGCUUCUCCAUAUGUCCCCAUUGUGUUCCGGGAUGUUAUUUUGUACUAUUGUUUUCCUAUGUCUACCCUUGUAUUUAUUCAGUGCAUUGUUCUUUUCGCAUUUUGGCAUGAAAGCUUGCUGGCUUGGAGGAGGAUGAACACAGAUGAAAGAGGGGAAACAUUGUAGAAUUGUGUAUGUUGCUUGCCAAGUUUAGCUUUGGAUUUUUAGUGCUUUGACACUUUGUGCAGAAUGAACUAAACAUUUACAUGUCAAGAGCAUCUUGAUGCAUAUAAAGAGUAAACGGAGGCAUGAAAUAACGAGUUGUAUGGGUUGAUUUAUACUCUCCAGUUUUAUAUAUGUUUGUGUGUGUAUCAGACAUGAACAUUCAUCGUUUCAUGCGUUGUCAAGCUUUCCUAUACGCCACGAGACACAAAGCAACCUUUUAUCUACCACAUGUUGGCAUCUACUUGAAAUUUAACCAGUAAUUAUACGUGCGUUGCACGUGCACACUUACUAGUAACGCAACAAAUAGUUCGUCCUCUAUUAUUUCUGGGUCGGACCGUUUACAAUUCUUUUUCAUUCGCUCUUUCUCACUCGCUAGAUCGGUCGUGUGUCGUUCACUGGUUCUCGCCCGGUUUUCUUCUCUCUUCUGUUAAACUCUCUUUGUUACUCAAGGACUUCUUCGGGUUCUUUUCUUUUUCUUUAUAUUUUCAUUGGUUUCUCGGUUUUCACAUGUAUUUUUCUAUUCUUUCUAUUAUGAUUUAUUUGGUUCAUUGUUUUCUUCUCAGUUAUCACUGUUUUUUUCUUUUAAUUUUUUAAAAUGCUUUUUAGUUUUCCCUUUUUGGUUUUAUUUUGUUUCUUUUUCCUUUUUUCUUUCAUUUUGCACUUGUUUCAUCAGUUUUAUUGUUUUUCCCUUUUGUUUCUUUUUAGGGUUCUAUUGCUUUUUUAAUUCUUCUUUGUUUCUAUUUGUUUUCAUUCUAAAAGUUUCAUGUAUGUCAAGAACAUUUUUCUAAUACAUGUUUAAUAUAUUUCAACAACAAUUUCAAUAUUUUCUUAAUACAUGAUCAACAUUUUUCUAUACAUAUUUUUCAAAUGCUUGAUUAAUAUAUUUUUAAUACAAGGACUACAUUUUUUAUACACAUUUUAACAUUUUCAAAUGUUUGAUUAACAUCUUUCAAAUACAAGAUUGAGAUUCAUACAUGGUCAAAAAAAUAGAUAUGUAAUGUUUUUUAAAUAAAUGAUUAACAUUUUUCAAAUACAAGUUAAAAAAUUCAAAUAUCUGAUCAGUAUUUUUUUCUAAAUACAUGAUCAAUUUUUCACACACAUUGUAUAUUUUGUAUAUAUUUUUUCAUAUGCAUGAAAAUAUUUUCCUCAUAGACGUUUAUCAUUUUCAGAUUAUUUUUUAACAGUUUUUUAAUACAUGGUCAACAUUUGUAUACAUACUUUUCAAAUGCUUGAUUAUAAAUUUCAUAUACAUGAUUAACAUGAUUGUAAUACACUGUUAAUAUUUAUAUACAUCUUUUAGCAUUAUUAAAUGCCUGAUUAACAUUUUUCAAAUACAAAAUUGACAUUUAUUGAAUACACGAUCAACAAUUUGUUUAUCAUAUUCAUCAGUGUUCAAAAGAUUGAUUAACAUUUUCGUAAUACUUGUUUAGAAUUUUCAUAUACAUUUUUCUUACAUGUGAGAAACAUUUUAUUUAUAGAUAUUUAACCUUUUUUAAAUACUUGAUUAACAUUUUUGCAAAUAUUUUAUGAGAUUUAUUAUUAAUAUUUGUAUAUAGAAUAUUUGUAGGUAUAAACUAAAAAAAUAAGACAAAAACUUUAAACAAAAAGAGGCUAUGGCCUCCCAGCGCCUGGCCGGUCCACUAGGAAGAAUCUUGGCACGAGAGCACACUAGAUCUCGCUGCAAGCAAGACAUAGCCCUGCCCAGCUAGAAAAGGCGAAGAAAGGCCAAGGGCAGCGCACUCAUGGUCAGUCCAUUUCUUUGUCGAGGUUUUUUCAGGCUCAGCUAUGGUUUUUUUUGGUGUUUCCUUUUCCUGUUUGUUUCUUAAUUUUGGUUUUUAUUUUUCUUCUUAUAGUAUUUUUUUCCUUUGUAAAAAAGUGUAGAAUUUUAAUACUUUUUCAGGAAUCUAAAAAAAUGUUCGUACUUCCAAGAAUGAUCAGGAUUUCGAAAUUUAUUCAUAUAUCAAUAUAUGGUUGAAUUUUCCAUGAAUUUCGAGAUUUGAAAAAUCUGAAAUUUCAAAUAUUUUUUGGAAUUGCAAAUUUGUUCAUAUUAUUUAGAAUAAAUAUCGGAAUUUUUUUUAAAAAGUCGGAAAUAAGAAAAAGGUGGCAUUUACAAAAAAUGUGUGGGGUUGCUAAAAUUCAUUAGAAAUUGAAAAUUUUGUUUUGAACUUUCAAAAAAUGUGUAAAUUCAAUAUUUUUCAAGGUUUUCAAAAUAUGUGCUCAAUUUUUCAAAACAUGCUCAUGUGUUGAUAUAAAAUCCUACUUGAAAAAACUGAUUGCUACAGCAGAGUGAUUCCCUACAUUGCCUAUGGGCCGAGCUCAGUUGGCUGCUCUGUGUGCGUCGCGGUCCCUAAUGACGCAAAAUGCGUCAUAUAGGAGGUCCAAAAUAUGUGUUCCCUCGCCUCCUGAAAACAUGUGUUUCUCAUGAAGGAAAAUGUGUUUCUCGACCAGGUUUUUUCUUACGAACCGCAUUCUUAUUGUGUUCAUAGGCCUUAGAAAUUUGGCCCCUAAUAGCCGGGCUAGAAAGGGGUUUGAAACAAUGCAGGUCUACUUUUUUGUCAUGACAAACAUCGAAAUCACUAAUUAGGUACACCUCUUAUUCAAGUUUUGUUGCGCCAAACUGGAGGGAAAAUGCGCAGUGCGCAUAUUCAAGGGGCGGCCCACUCCCAUUGCAUGUAACGAGCCGGUAGUGAGCUGUUUUUCUUGCGAUGCACUGUACCAAACGACAUGGUAGCGAUCAGCUACUAUAGCAGCACUGCAUUGUAGGCUAUAUGUUAUUGUAGCGAACAUUUUUUAAAUUUAGUUCCUUUUUAAAAAAUGUGAUUCUUUGUUUGAAGUGCUAACAUUUUUUAAAAUUGCAAACAAUUUCAUGUAAAAGACGAUUUAAAACACUGAACAAUUUUUGAAAACAUGAUUGGUUUUUAAAAAUUGGGAAUUUUCUCCGAAAUUCCCAGCUUUUAAAAAACAAUCUUCUGAAAAACUGAACACUUUUUGAACUUUCAACAAUUUGUGUACAUUUUCUUGAAUAGUAAACAGUUUUUUAAAUUCCAAGAAUUUUUUGAACCACCAAAUUUUUUAAAUUUGAACAAUUGUUUGAAAUGGUGAAUAAUCGAAAUUUCAAACAAAUUUCAAAAAUCUAAACCAUUUUUAAAGUCAUGUACAAUUUUCAAUAAUUGAGAUUUUUCAUAAAAAAGGAAUACAUGAAACAAAAAGAAAAAGGAAAAUAGAAAACUAGUAAAGAAAAUAAAGAGUAAAGAAUACAGUUAUGGAACCUUCCAGAAGGUUCCUAAACAUGUAAAAACCCAGGCUGGAACCUUCCAGAAGGUUCCGAAAACUGGGAGCGCUUGGCUACUAAAAUGGACCUGACGAUGCCUUGAUUCUCGCUGCUCGGCACCUCCUUAGCGUGCGUAGCGUCUACACUUUGCGGCAAACAGGCAUCAUGAGGGCGGGGGCAUGUCCUGUUGUGCGUGUUGGGCCUUUGGCGCGCAACUGUUUCCAGCAUGACAAUGGCCAGCUAAUAGGCAGUUUCAGAUUCUCCAACUCCAGAGCCGUCGUCCUCGUCAGCUGGCAGCGACUCGACGCGCACAGAGAUCAUCAUCUCCUCCGUUGACGAGGAGGACCAACAACCGCCGCAGUCCGCGCCGACGAUGCCGGACCAGGUCUACGCCGUCACCGACGCGGAGUUCAAGGAGCAUAUGAAGUUAAUGCUCGUCCACAUCAACGGCCCUGCUCCGCCAUCGGGGGUGCUCCUCCUCGUGAAGUCGGAGUCGACAUCUCCUCCAUGCUCUUCGUCGCCGCUGCCGCGGCGUCCAAAUCAGACGCCACGUGAAGGAAGAGCGGCUCUCGCCCCCGCCCCGCGCGCAUCGUGGAGGAGAGAUGCUCGCCGCCACCCCGACGCUUCGUCAAGGAGGAGCACCGCGUGUGGCCCACCCCGAUGCAUCGUCAAGGAGGAGCGCCGCGCACCGCCGCCCCUGCCCAAGGCACGCGGUCGCCUUCUCCACCACCUCGGCAGCGGUGUCAGCUGUUCGUCCUCCUGGAGUGCCAUGACAGCGCAUGAGUACAUCGACCGGGAGCAGUACCGACGGGACAGCCGCGCGCCGGUCCAAGUUCGCGGACUCGGAUGCCCCCCGCCACACAUCGCGGUGGAUCCGGUCCUGGCGUAUGUCUGAGUUAGAAGGGAGAGAGGGAUUUGGUGGAAUAGUUUGAUGUAUUGCUUGAGCCUCGUGGGCAUAUAUAUAGGAGUACAUGAUCUACUUGGAGUACAAGGCAAGCCAGAAUAUUUCCUAGUCUAAUCUAUGUUUCCUAAUACAAUCACGUUACUCAACAUCCCCCCGCAGUCACAACGGUAGCGACGCAGACGGUGAGACUGGAGAAGAAUCCGAAGNNNNNNNNNNNNNNNNNNNNNNNNNNNNNNNNNNNNNNNNNNNNNNNNNNNNNNNNNNNNNNNNNNNNNNNNNNNNNNNNNNNNNNNNNNNNNNNNNNNNNNNNNNNNNNNNNNNNNNNNNNNNNNNNNNNNNNNNNNNNNNNNNNNNNNNNNNNNNNNNNNNNNNNNNNNNNNNNNNNNNNNNNNNNNNNNNNNNNNNNNNNNNNNNNNNNNNNNNNNNNNNNNNNNNNNNNNNNNNNNNNNNNNNNNNNNNNNNNNNNNNNNNNNNNNNNNNNNNNNNNNNNNNNNNNNNNNNNNNNNNNNNNNNNNNNNNNNNNNNNNNNNNNNNNNNNNNNNNNNNNNGUAACGGUCGACGCAUCACAGAGUCGUGGCUGGAGUGGAAACCAACGAGGUUGCUCAAGCAGGCGGUAGCCCUUUGUGCCGUUUGUCGAGGUAGCCGAGAGCCGAGGGUGGUGUACCCGUGGUUGAGGUAGCCGCGCGAAGAAUGUCAUGGUCGAUGUCGAGUCGGGGAGCCGGUGUCGAGGAUGUCGCCAUGGAGCAGCGGGCGCAAGAGGGCGCCGAGUUAGCAUGGGCGCAGUGGUGUUGAAGUAGUGGUGCGUCGAGAAGAAGACGUUGUUGACGAUGCGUCGCGGCGGGUUUGCCAAGCCCGGGGACACAUCGUAGACGAAGGCACGCACCGGUGUUGCCAGCACCGGGCAUGCGUAGACGGACGAAGACGAAGUUGACGAAGCGCCACACCAGGCUUGUCAGGCCCGGGGAAACGUCGUGGACGAAGGCACGCAUCGGUGUUGCCAGCACCAGGCAUGCAUAGACGAGGACCUGCACAAGUUGUACGCCAUGUCGGAGGAGUUAGAGAGGCUAGCAGAGAAGGACUCGAUGACGGUUGCGGCGUCAAUCAGCGCGGAGCCGAUGUCGCGUGCGGUUGUCGGAGUAGACGAAGUGGUCGGGGUAGAUGACGGCGACGCUAGCGACGGGCCGAUGCUAGACGAAGACGAAGGAGGUGGACGGGCGGCGGCAGCGGCUAGGUGGGUAGCGGCGGUAGCCAAAGAAGAGCGGCGGCGGCGGCCUGACGGCGGCGGCUAGGUUAGGAGACGCCGGCGGUGCUCGAAGUAGGCGAAGAACCCGACAGCAUAACAAAGACCGGCGCGAACAGUGGCAUUCCCGCGCCAAGGAAGGUGGCGCGACGCAUACCACAGGAAGUCAACGCGCGUGGACGACGAAGUGGACCGUGGGCCGCCGCGCUAUGGCCCGAAGGGGCGACGCAGCGGCGGCGGGCAGGUCGGGGUGACAGCGGGAAGACCUCGGGGCGGCGGCAGGGACCGUGGGCCGCGGCACGACAGCCCGAAGGGGCGGCGCGGCGGAGGAGCGCGGGUCGGUGCAACCACGGGGACGGCCUCUAGACGGCGGCGUGGACCGCGUGCCACGCUCGCUACGGCCCGACAGGCGACGCAGUGGCGGCGCGAGGGUCGGUGCCUCCACGGGGACGACCUGGAGCGGACGGCCUCUGGGCGGCGGUGGACCACGGGCCGCGGUACUACGGCCCAAAGGGGUGACGCAGUGGUGACGCGGGUCGUGAAGCUGGGAGAAGAACCACGGGGCAGCGGCGCUGCGGCCCGACGGGGCGACGCAGCGGCAGCCCAUUGCUCGAUCGGUAGAGGGGCGCGCUGAACUCGGGACGGUCUUCACGGGGCUUGCGGAGGCGCACGCAACCGACGGCCCAGGUUGGUCGCACGGCGUAGAUGAGACGGAUCGCGGCGGCGGGCGGGUGAUCAAUCCGAUCGCGCGCGAGGUCGGGGACGCCGCUCGGUGGAGGCGCGGUGGCGGCGGAGUCCAAGAUGAAGCCGGCGGCGGCGGGCGGCAGGGCGGCUAUAAUUGGCCGCCAAAUGGCGCGAGGCCGCCGGGUCGGGGUGAUGCAGGUGUCCCGGUCGAAGCAGGGCGGUGACGGCCGGCGUAGAUCGACGGGCGGGCCGUCGCACGAAGGGCGGCGGUGUAGAGCCGCUGCAUGACGCGAGGCCGCCGGGUCGGGGCGACUAGCGGGCGGACACAAGGACGCCGCGCGAGGCCGUCGGGUCGUGGCAACCGACGGGCAGACGCGCGGACGACGCGCGAGGCCGUCGGGUCGGUGAAGAAGCCGGCCGAUCGCGCCGGUGUUGGAGUAGAGGCGCACGGGAUCGAUGGCGGCGAUGGGCGACGCAAACCGGAUCACAUAGACCGAAAAACCAAAAAAAAGACGCCGAUCAAAGCGACCGGCGAGAGAGAGAGAAAACCCGGAUCAAAAGAUCGGGGAAAAAGACUCUUUAGGGCAGAUGGCCAACACGGCCGGCGGACGAACCCUAGGUACAGGCGGCGCGGCCCCCGGCGGCGGUCAUGGAGGCUGACCGCCCCGAGGGCGGCGCGUGGGUACGGAAGCGGCGGCGGCUAGGGUUUAGGAUCGACUUGCGAUAAAUACCAAGUUAGAAGGGAGAGAGGAAUUUGGUGGAAUAGUUUGAUGUAUUGCUUGAGCCUCGUGGGCAUAUAUAUAGGAGUACAUGAUCUACUUAGAGUACAAGGUAAGCCAGAAUAUUUCCUAGUCUAACCUAUGUUUCCUAAUACAAUCACGUUACUCAACAAUCUGGACCCUGGACUGCUCGAUGACGACGUCGGAGACAGCCAAGCGUCGUCUCUGCCACCUCGACAUAAAGAUGGCCAGGUACAACGAGGAAUGGUCCAUUGUCGAUAUCGACGCCGCCAACGACGCUUCCUCCAACGACCGCCACCCUCUCGCCAAGCCCAUGUCCUUGAUGGCCGUGGUCGCACUUCGCACGACGCAAGAGGAAGCGGAGAGGAUCAUUCGCGGGCGUCAGGCGGCUGCCAGAAAGCCCUGCCAUGACGCCGCCACCUUCCGCCACCCCAAGCACGACGACAACGCGGGAUCGGGCGUCGAUGAUGGAGGAGGAGCCGCCUGCCAGCCCAAAGGCAUGGCGUACGAGAUCACCGUCACGUAUUGGAUAGUUUAGCGGUUUUAGCUGAUCGGACGAAAUAUCAUUCGGUUUUAUGUACAAAUGAUCCUAAUUUCAAUGAAAUCCGUCAUGUUUGAUCAAAUUUUGUUCGGUUUGAUCAGAUUUCGUUCGAUUAGUUUAAAUUAUUAUGAAAAUGUAUGCAACUAUGGUUGGAUGGUGUUAUUCCGCAUUCAUUUUCUUGAACUGGUCCUCUGAUGCAGGAGAAUUUUUGCGGUUGCCGUUUGAGAUGCCUCCUGCUGCUGGAGAUGCCCUAAAGCGCUCUUCCCUCCUCUCCUAAAUUGACCAAUAAUGGUCAGACGGAUCACACUGGUGGGCGCAGUGCACCGCCAAUCUUUUCCACAUUCACCGCCGAGUUCCACACUUCCCAGUGAAAAGCAGGAUAUGGCCUUGCACGAGGACGGCAACCGAGCGCGACACGACGCCGGCAGGACCAGGGCGAGGAGGCAACGUGCGAGUGCGUGUGCGCGCGCGUGCGUCGCAGUGGUCGCGCGCGCCAGAGGCACAAUCACGAACGUAUGCGCGCCCUUUCACGCGCGCGUCACCCACUGCGACUUCCCCAUACUUACUUUUGCUUACUGCUCCCUACCCAAACAGCAAGUCCUACUCCUACUACACGGGGCUAGCAGCAGCACUAGGGCUAGCCAGUGCAGGGCUUUGAGAAUUGAGAUCGAUCUUCACGUGAAACUGCCGACGAUCUCCCUUCCAAUAGCCUAGGCGAAACGGGGUGGCUAUGUACCUAGGCGGCUUUGUCUCGUUCCUUUUGUAUGCGUGCUCGUUUCAUCAGCUACCAAAUUAAAAGCUCAACUAGAAAUAGAGUGCCUUUUUUGUCGAGUGAGAGGACCGAGCUACAGCAGACGCGUGCGUCCAUUUUACGCCGCGUAUUAGGUUUUAGUUAAGUCAAACAUUGUAAAGGCGUCACGGGCGUGUUGACGUCCAGGAUCAUACAAAUGCACGUACAGCCGAUAAGGUCCAGGGCCUGCCGCUGAAUUCCGUGUCGAUGUAUCCAUCGACAGCCAUACGAGCCAUGAAUGAAUUCCCAGCUGCCUCUGCGCGUCAGCACUACUCGAUCGUGCAUUUCACUGCCUCAUCGAUCAUCUUUUACGCGGAGCGAGUGUGGUCCAAAACCAAACCAAAAGGCUGCUGCCUGCUGGGAGGAAGAAGCCUGGUACUUGGGCUUGGCUUAGUCCUAGCAUCGUGGUAGCGGUUGCAUUCAAGAUGGAUAAGCAGAGACAUGCAUUCAUUGAUCGGGCCGACCGGGAUCUCAAACCAGCCAGGCAUGCAUGCACCAAGCAAGCCAGCAUGCAGGUCGAGCAAGCAGCUGUAGCGGCAGCCAGCCGGCCAGCCACAGCGGAGUACGUACGUACGCACGCACGUACGUAAUGCGGACACGCCACCAUAUAUAGCAUUCUGCAGCCUAUCCUGCUCUCCGCGGACGUACACCACGUACAUGCACAUGCCCAUUCGGUCGAUCCAACGCCCUAGCUAUGGCCAGCACUGUUGGACCGGGACGGGUCGGCCUGGGAGAUCGAUCGAUGGAGAGAGUUCGCUGGGCGCAGUGGCGUGUCUAGCCUAAUUCUGCGCACGCAUUUGCAUGCGCAUGACUGAACAGCUCUUGCCCUCGCACAGCGGCGCUCGUACGUACGUACUUACGAGGAUCGAUGGAUCGAUCGUCGGUGCCGCUGCGUGUGGCCCGGGCCGGACGGCCGAAGCGUGGUGUCACGUCCGUCCGUCCGGCCGAGGCGACCCGUGCGCGCACAUGCACGUACACGGGCUGUUGCCGGGGGGGCUGACGGAGUUGAUGCUUUGCCAACCUGCCGUUGGGUGGCCUCGAAUAGGUUUCGCACUGUACGAGUAACAAGAACCUAGCCUCUCUAGGUCCCGUCCGUCCUCCUCCCCGCACUGUGCCUGAGUUGAUGCAUGCGAGGGCGAGGCACGAGCCGACGGACGGCACGUGCCGCUCAAACACAAGCCCGUUUUCCACAUGGAAUUUCCAUUCCCUACUUAAAUUUUAUGCGCACCGGAGUUCGGAAUGGUGUAUUGGCGUCGUAUACGUAUACGUAGGGUGGGUAGUAGCACGUGCCCACGUCUUUGCAAACAGAGCUGGCGGGUAGCCUGGCAUGGACACUGGGCUCGUAUCGCGCCCUGCAAUGUUUGGACUCCGAGUUGAGACACUCGCUCUGCGACGUACCGCGUACACCAUGUGCGAACGAACGAGACGCGCCCGUACCCGUGCCGUACGUGCUUCGUGGGGGGGCAGCGGCAGGGUCUGAGCGGUGGGGCCCGACCGGGGGGCGUACGUGCGCGUGCCGGGGCGCAGAGGUUCGUCCCUGUCGGGCGCGGGCAGAGGCAGGCGGCCUUUCCCUCCCCUCGUGCGCCCAUGCCGAAGUGACCGAAAUGACCCCGGCGCACGCACCGCCGGCCCCACGUGUCGGGGACAGACGAUUCCCACCCCGUGUGACAACACGGCCGGGCCUCGUCAGGGCUGGCCCCUGGGCUCGGGCGCCCGCGGGCCUUCAAAAUUCUGCUCCGGCGAGUGGGCCAGGUCAACGGUCAGCAAGGGUAGGGGCCGCGAGGAAAGAGACAGGUAGCCGCCGGUGGACGCCCACCCAUGGAAAUUUUAUUUGACAGGUCCACGGCCGGGGCUCUCGUAUCCCCCUCGCGCCGGUGCGCCCUUUUUCUUCCCUUCCACAGCUGGGUGAUGGCCGGAUUCGCUGCAAACAGUGGCGCUCACUGAGCGUCUGUUUACCUCCAUGCUUGUCUCACACGCCCCCAAAGUCACGAGACCGUCCAAAGAAGCAUGCAUAAAAGAUGCAAUAGAUUAAUCGGUACAUUUAGCUUGGAGCCCCGGACACAAGUCUCCAAACACCAGUGCAGCACUAUAGGAGUAUCACUGUGCGCCUGCUCCCUUCCAAAGGCAUGCAUGCUUAAAUGGAGCACCUCUGACAUGAUUUGCCUAAGAGCAAGAGAGUGCUAGAAAAAAUGUCCAGCGUGCUUUGAUGUUUUGCAAUCUCGACGGGGCAUCGUUCGGUAUCCUACUAAUACUUGGAGCAUGCAGAAACUAUAUGAGGUGAUGACUGCUUGUGUGAUCAUGCACAAUAUGAUAGUAGAAGACGAGCGUCCGGAACGUCUGUACGAUAAAGGCUUUCAGUUUCAGGGUGAGAAUGUUGUGCCUGAGCAUGGAGUAGCGGCAACAUUUGAGCAGUUCACUCAGUUUCAUGAAGACAUGCGUGAUUGGAAACUCACGUGCAACUGCAAAAUGAUUUGGUUGAGCAUAUGUGGACUCAUGUUGGCAACCAAUAGAUGUAUCUUCUUUUAUUCGUUUGCAAAACUAUGUGAAACAUUUUUAUUUGUAUUUGGCUUGUAAAACUAUACUAUUUAUUUGGGCGGCUAAAUUAUUUUGCUUGUUAUUUCAUUUCACAAUAUGUUUGAAUGCAAAUCAAUGUAAAAUUGGGCGGCCAGCCGGCCAUGCCUGCACUGCACAUAUGGGUCGGCGCGUUGGGUGCGCUGCUGACCCAUAUGAAAAACAGGGCGAACACCGGACGGGCGGCCGACCCAAACGGAUAAAAAGCGGAUGAAAUUGCCGUUCGUUUGGGUCGGCCCGUUGGAGUUGCUCUUAGGCCAACUCCACCGCGCGACCCUAUCCUGUCCGCCCCCGUCCGUUUGGGGUAAAAGGGACAAAUGAGACGGCCCAGCGCGCGGGCGCAAAUGGAAUUUUGUCCGCUUUGUGUCCGCUUUCAACCCAUCCCCCACCCAAGUUUGCGUCGGUUUUAGGGUGAAACGGACAGCGCGCGGACGGGCAGGACGCGCGCGCUUGUCCUCCCCUGACCCGCCUGUCGGUGGGAGAAACCAAACCCUCCACGCCCAUUUGGCGCCAUUUCCCCCANNNNNNNNNNNNNNNNNNNNNNNNNNNNNNNNNNNNNNNNNNNNNNNNNNNNNNNNNNNNNNNNNNNNNNNNNNNNNNNNNNNNNNNNNNNNNNNNNNNNNNNNNNNNNNNNNNNNNNNNNNNNNNNNNNNNNNNNNNNNNNNNNNNNNNNNNNNNNNNNNNNNNNNNNNNNNNNNNNNNNNNNNNNNNNNNNNNNNNNNNNNNNNNNNNNNNNNNNNNNNNNNNNNNNNNNNNNNNNNNNNNNNNNNNNNNNNNNNNNNNNNNNNNNNNNNNNNNNNNNNNNNNNNNNNNNNNNNNGCCCCGCCGAGUUCCGACGGCCUGGCCGUCGACCCGCCCGCAAAGGUGAAGAAGAAUGCGCCAAUGAAGCCGUGGUCGGUGUGCACGCCGGAGGAGAUCGCCAAGUUGGACGCGGAAUCGGCAAAGAGGAGGGAACGGAGAGCGGUCGUCAAGGUCAAUGUCGUCGCGGCCAAGUUCGCCGCCCAGCGCGAUGAGCUGGAUGCCGCGCGGCCGACGAGAAGGAGGAUCUCGCCAACAAAGAGCAUGCCAUCCUCAUGCUUGGCAUGGGCCGUCCGCCCGGGUUCCCUGGAGCGGCCGUCGGCCCGGUGAGCACAGACUCGUUGGUCGCCCGGCUUACGCACUGCCAGUCGCCGACCUCGCGCACCGCGCCCAUGUCGCCCGGCUUUCCUCCACCAAGGCACGACGGCCAAACCCGUUUCUCGGAGUCGCCGGACGUGGGCUUGUUCGCGCCAUCGACACCGCACCCCUCGGCCGUCAUCGACCUCAACGUCACGUCUGGGUCCAGCAGCGGCGGCCGGCCGUCCGUCGAUAUGCAAAGAAAGCAGGCACGGGCACCAUUCACGGGCACCAUGCCGGCCCCCCACGCCUUGUUUGACGGAAUGCCAACCCCAACGCCAACCGUCGACGACCCCUUCUACAACCAGUACAUGGAGGACGUGAUCUUCGAGGGUGGACAUGGCCGUGCCUACGACCCCGAGGAGACCCAAAGUCAGGAUGGCCGUGCCCAGUACGUACCCGAUGAAGAGGCCGACGACCGUGCUGACUACGACCAUGGUGACUCGUGGCAUGAAGACAAUGACAUCUAUGUCGAAGGUGAUGGUGAUGAAGAAGAAGGCAAUGACGUUGAUAUUAGUGGCGAGCCAUUGUUCAUCGACGAGCUCACCCAAAGAGCGGAAGCACAAAAUAAGAGGAAGAGCAUUCGCACGGGUUCAUACACACAAGAUGAGGACAAGUUGAUUUUCCAAGUUUGGAUGGAGAUUAGUCAAGAUCCGAGGACCGGCGCGCAACAAAAGGGCAUUGUUUUUUUAUGAGAGUCCACAAAACAUUCAAUGAAAUGAAGAUGUUCGAGCCCUACCAAAUUACAAGCAACCGUGGCAUCGGCUCGAUUCAAAAGAGAUGGUUGUUCAUCCAACAAGAGUGCAACAAGUAUCAAGCCGCAUUUGAGAGCGUUCAAGCACGGCCCGUGAGUGGUCUCGGCGUUGGGGACACGGUAUGCUCUCCUCUUCCUAGCCCUUUCCUUGCUACGGCCAUGAGACUUCAGCCUUGUAUAUGUUUGCAUGUUCACUUCUUGUUGAUCAUGUGUUGUAGGUAUUUCAAUCUUUGGAGGCAUUCAAGGCCCGUCACAAUGACAAGCCAUUCACUCUUACGCAUUGUUGGACACUCAUCAACAAUUGCCCUAAGUUUAAGGACCAAUACCGUGAACUACAAAGGAAGAGAGGACUGAAGACGACCAAGUUCGCCGGAGGUGGAGAUGGCGAGGCGUUGAAGAGGCCGAGGGGCAAGACCAACUCCAAGGUUGAUGACAUACGUGAUGCCUCAUCCAUGGCAUUGCAUGACACUUUGCAUGGCAUGAUGUCUCAAAAGGAUGUGAGGGACGAGAAGAAGCGGCAAAGUAAGGACGAGCAAAUGAAGCAAUACCUAGACCUUCAAAAAAAGAAGUUUGAGAUGGAGGAGGCGUCCAAGAAGAGGAAUAUCGACAUAGAGGAGGCGGCCCGGCAAAGGCAGCUCGACAUGGAAGAGGCUGCCCGGCAAAGGCAGCUCGACAUCGAGGCCGACAACGUCAAGGCCAGGCAGAGGUAGCUCGACAUCGAGGCCACCAAUGCCGCCACCAAAGCAAAGGCGGUGGCCCUUGCGAUCAUGAGCGUGGACUUAUCGAAGAUGAGCGACAAGACGAGGGCCUGGUUCGAGGCCAAGCAGAAGGAAAUGCUCGACGCCGAAGGCCUGAACUAGGUCGUCCGAUCGGCCGUAGCCGUUCUUUUUGGAGGCUGGCAUGGGUGUCGCCCGCCCGCUGGGCCGCUGGCCGUGUGCCGACGAGAAAACAAUCAUUUUGGUGGCCGGCUGUGUUGUCGGCCGCUGGUUGUGUUGUCGGCGAGGACAACUAUUUAUUUUGGAGGCUGGCUGUGUUGCCGGCCGAUGGCUGAUGCCGGCAAUGGACGUGUAGGCCGCUGGCUCUGUUGCCGGCGUGAUGAACCGGGGCCGCUGGCCUGAAUUAAGGCUUGGCAUUUGAAACGCUGCUUCUGGUUUUUUUAAUAGACGCGGACAGGAUGAGGCAAAUGGAUGCGGCCACGCGCUGCGUGCACGGCCACCGCAUCCCAGGACACGCCCGGACACGAUCCUAAAUCCCUACCCAAAACCAAACGGACAGAAUGCGGACAAAACGAACGUUCGUUUCGGGUCGCGCCAUGGAGUUGGCCUUAUGGCAAAUACUAGUAUGACCUUUGGUGUACAUUUGUGAGCUGUGAGACUGUGGUGUGGUGUACGAUGGUAGCGGGGGUCAUCAGGAAACAAUCUACUCCAUCUCCAUGGCCGGAGGGUGGUCCAGGGCCGGUGACAGAGGUCCCGUGUGGGUUUGCACGUGUGGCAGUGGCCGGCGCGUCCGCUUUUUCUUCACGGGGACGUAUACCGGUCCACCCUCUCUCCGCCUUUUCUCUCGCGGCGCGGAUAUCGAUUGCUCUCUCUCUCUCUCUUUUGCUCGUACGACCGCACUGCGUGCAGCACCGCACUGCUAGUCCUGACUCCAGUCCCUGUGCAUGUGUACCAGCACUACUCAUACUCACGAAAGACGGGUCGUGGAUUUUUCACCGCAGGAUCCACGCACGAAUGAUCUGUAGGCCGCGGACACACAGUUGAACCUGUGGAUUCCAGUGGCCGUUGCACUGCAGAUGUCAUGGUGAUUUCGGGUCGAUUGAUCCCGAACCGGAAGUGUACAAAAUGCGACGGGUCGAGGAGUAGAUAAAUUAUUCGUCGGCGUUGGAGUCAGUGGAGAAGGGCGGAGAGGAGAAGACGACCGCAGAACAGCAGAAGUGACAGGUUCUUGGCCCUAGUCAAAUACGUCGUCUCUGAAGUCCAUACACGGAAGAAAACAAACCCUGAUCCAUGUCCCCUGAUACGUAUUUGGUUACAACUGUUUAUCGAGUCUUAUCCCUAAAAUGGGCAAUGCUGCACAGCAGUACGACUUUUUCUUCUUCUUACGUGGCCACAUUAAUUUUUGCCUGUGACAUGUUUCGCAAAUUUCAACAUGCAGAAACUAGGCCUGGAGUAUAUUGCGAUCUGUAUGUGUUGAAGGGAUACGGGAGACAAAGAUCCUGCAAUUAAGGGUUUCAUCAAUACUACUCCCUCCGUCCGGGUGUAUAAGUCAUUCGCGUAGUUCUAGGUCAUCGAUUUGAGGAAUUAAAUAUGUGUUAUAUGUCAUGAAAAAUAUACCACUAGAUUCCACACGGAUGUAGUUUCUAAAUAUAUAUUUUUUGUCACAUAUAAUACAUAUUUAGAUAGUUAAAUUAUCGACCUGAAACUACACGAAUGACUUAUACACCGGGACGGAGGUAGUACUACUCCAGUGGCACUCGACAUCUGUGUACAUAGGAUGCUCUUAAUUGGUGAAAGGGAAAGGCAUGGGAGCAACCGACACGCAUGCCGAUAGGAUCAAGCCAGGCAUCAUCAUCAUCGGCCCGAACACUGACCGCUGCGUCGCACGGGGCCAUAAAUACGCUCUACCAGUCGACACACCCAGACCCAACCCUCCAGGCCCUGGACGCGGUCGGUCGGCCUGGCCGCAGCGUUUCGUCGGAGAAAUGGCCAGAAUCAGGUUCGGGUCAGAUCAGACGGCCGAUCCGAUCGGACGCUUGUCGCACAUCCCGUCUGGUCCAUCGAUCUUUCACACAUCCACCGUCCGUGCCAACCGAGAGCGAGAGAGAGCUCCCGUCCCAUGGUAGGGUCCAUACGUACGUACACGCAGGCGCUCGGUGUGCCAUGCACAUGCACGCACGCACGCACGCACGCACGCACGCACAUACGGGGGGUCCAGGAGCAGUCUGGUCCGACGUCGUAGGAGCACUGUUCCUGAUCAAAUCCAUCCUAGGCUCUGUAUAUCCGGCCGGCCGGUAGGCCCCCCGAGAAAGGCGACGGGAGCCCGUUCCGGAUCCGGCCUCGUGCGCCGGCCGGCCGGCACCGGUCGACGGUGAUGUGGUUGCCUGUACCUACAGCGGCGGGCGUGCGGGCGUGGAUGCCGCGCCAUGCUCGCCGUGACGCUACAAGGCCGGGCUGGGCUAGCUCCCAGCACAUGUGCUGUUUGAUCCGCCCAGACGCGGGUCGGCUCGCUUUCGAUCAUUUCGACGUGACCGCGCGCAUGCACUUGCCCGGCCGGCUCGACCGCUCGACACGAAUCGCGUAGGAUAGAUCGCCGGGAAUGACCGCCGACUCAUUCACCGCACUUACCGGGGCAGUGUGAUUUUUCUUCCGUACCACCCUACGCCUACGUGUUGAGGGUCACGAGAUAACCCACGGCGUUCAAUUAGCUGUUGAUGGGAAUCAAACUCCAAUCGGUCGAGUUUGAGAGGAUGCGUGAUGUGGCUGUUUGUAAUGUUCUCCCGAUAGUUCACUGGCCGGCCAUGUCGACGCUUUUUUUUGCUUUACAUUGACGUGAUAGCUAGGAGUAGCUAGCUAGUAGCUUUAUUACCUUUAACCUUUACGACCAGGGGCUUAAGCUUAUGAUGAGCAUGCCCGCGGUCUUCACGUCUCACCUUCCUCUGACGGACCCCUCUUCUGUUCAUAAAACCAGGCACCGCAAAGCAUCUGACCGGACUCGGCCAUUUUUCUCUUUAGAGAAAGAGGAUAUAUGGAGAAAGACCAACAGCGACUAGAAGUUUAAGAUCUCAUUGUCAAAAACGGUGUCUUAGAACAUUUCCAACGUUGACUCACAAACGUCUUCGUUAUAUUUUCGUUUUUAUGUCCGGACGUGGUCCGCUGACAUGACACGGAAGGGAGUCAUGAAAUGCUAAUCACAUAGUAUCCGACUAGGAGGAGAAAAAGUAGGUGGCCAUCAUGCAUGUGGUGGAUAUUUGUGGUUUAUUGUUCGGUUGGAAGGAGAGAGGAGAGGGAGACCAUGCAUUUGUGAUUGGUCAAGUGCAUGUCCGGAUUCCGGUAAAACUUCCCCACGUUUUUCUCCUGGAUAGUGUAAUAUGUACGUCCGGACUGCUACGCGUACGUAUACAAGUCCCUGUUGGAUGGCAAAAAUGGACCGGACACUACGAUUCGGACGUAUAGGGAAGGUUUAAGGGUCCGCCUUGAAGAUGCCCUUAAGCAUCUCCAAUAGAACACUAUACUCCGCCCCAUAUGUCCGGGUGGACAGCUGGAAUACGGACUAGACAAAAAAUGUCUCAUAGCCGAUCCCCAAUACCUAAUCCAUAUGUGAGGUGGAUUUAGGGCCGUCUCGACUCGUCCGCCACAUCGGGCUGACCACCUCGAUCUCAUAAAAUCCAUCCCUAUCCCUACCCCCGAUCCAGCCUUAACCAUUUUUGAAUAGUACACUCCACUUCUCUUCGCUUCGCACCGCUCCUCUCCGGUCAUCUUCGGCCAUCUACAACAUGGUGAAUAGUGGAUUUGAGUCCAUCGUGUCUAGAUCUGUCCAAGGGGAACUCUUCACCUGCUCGCACCAGGAGGAGAUAGCAGUCCGGCUCGCGCUCCGCCGAUCCUAGGGCAAGACUCGAGAUCCGCCGUCAGAGCCUCCCCGAUGCAGAUAUGGCAGCGCCGCCACGCCCGACAAAAGCCUGCAACGCUCACGGCGUAUGUCCCAUGCGUCGUCGCAGCUGAACCUCGGUGAUGGGCGCUUAUCCCCGCACCAGCCUCGGCUUCAGAGUCCGGGGCUAGCGAGCAAUGCGCAUGGCCGCGGAUGCGGGGGCUCCUUCGAGGUCGAGGCGUUGUGUGCCUGGAGUGAGAAGGCGAAGGACUGUCGCGGCUCCUACUCAUCCACCACAUCUAUUGUGGUGUUGGUGCCCCUCGGAUCCGACGAGGACCUGGUCUUCUGCACCGUCAAGCAGUAGUCCGUAACCGCCAAAGAGUCGGGCGCGCGCUACCAUAUGAUCAACGCCAAAACGCUCGCGGAAGCGGAGGAAGCCUGUGCUUGGAUCCACGUGGAGCGGCAAGCUAGGGCUGCUCGGGUUCUGGCAAAGAAGCAAACCCGGGUCAUUUGUGCCCUAGUUAACCUACCCCUAAAAUCAAGCGAGAACAUGUCCAGUAUUGCAUCCAACACAUCCAACUAUGGCAGCAAGUAGAUCCACCUCAACUCCUAUGUCACCAUCAAACACUACUUCCACGACAAAGACGACGACAACACCAAGGGCCAGGCAACCUGUCGGUGAACUUCCCCUAUCAAUAGUCCUACCUUAGUUUAUGCUAUUGUUUCGAUGAACUAGUAGAACAUGUCGUCAUUUUGAUAGUUCGAUGGUAUGUAUGAUAAACUCACCUAUGUUAUGUUCUAGUUUGCUAGGUCAUAGCAUUGCAAUGUUUAUACUAUUCAUGAACUAGGAGCUAUGAAAGCGAAGUACGUGUGUUGAUCGACGAUGCAUGCUUGUGUAUGUAUUUGAGAGUUAGGAAAUGGGGAGCACGGUUGUAAGCGCACACCAAUGAGGGAUGAGCCCAUGCCGUAUCCGAGCGUGUCCAUGGACAUAUAGAACGCAAAAAUUAGUUGUGUGUGGUUGCAAAUGACCUUAACUCAACAAAUACUCUUAAUUCAUGAAAGAGGGCAUUUGUUUUCCAUUGUCACUUGUCUCGACCUGUCUAGUCCACGGUUCAAGUUAUCUCUAAUUUGUAUCCACCACAUAAUUUGAUCCAUAUGUUUGGGAGAUUUGUUUUAACAAAGCAACACGCCACCUCGCCGAUUUCUAUUAGAGAAACCGGCACAAUAUUUACAACAUCGUCAACGAUGAAACAAAGAAACAAAAAGAAUCCAACUACAACUAAAAGAUCAACCAGGAAGUAACAAUAUAUAUGAGUUUAGCCAGAACAACUUAACUAGGUGCUCUAGGAAAGCAUAGCUAAGGGAACAGCCAAAAAUAAUCAAAAGUAAAGAAAUGGUCGUUUAAAUCACAUUUUUAUUACAUACGCAUCAAGCACAACCCAAAGUAAAAUUCCAGGAAGCAACAUAUUCUUCUCUUCUUCACAACUCCAGUCUUCUAGCACCAGGUUCCAUCCAUGCCUUUGAGCAUAAGCCUCUCUAAGCACCAUCUUUGAUCAUCUCACACACAUCUUCAAUUCUUCUUCGCCUUGGUUCUUUUUGCAAAAUGCUCCAGCUUGUAAGAAAGUGACAAAAGUUAGAAACCACAAUGGCCACUGUAAAAGAAAACACUAGUUGGAUCACUGGGAAACUUCUUCUCAAAGCAAACUUUGUUUCUAGCCUUCCACAAUAUCUACCAUAGACUAACUUCUCCCUUCACCACCAGAGCUCUCUGUCUUUGGCGAAGGAUUGAUCCUAAGCUCAUACUAAGUCAUCUACAUUAUCAUGAGCCAUAUCUAUUAAACCACAGGCAACCACUUGCCAAAUUAAUUUGGCCAAAUUGCAUUCAAAGGAAGUGGCUAAUUUCUCUUCUUUUUUUCUCACAGAAGUGACACUGGCCAAUGCGAGUCCAUCCUCUUUUGAGCAGCUUAUCUUUAGUCAGGAUACCAUCCUUCAACAUUAGUCAAAGGAAAUGUUUAAUCUUCUAUGGCAACUUCAACAUUCAGAUAAAUCUGUAUCCCACCAAAGCACGUGCUUUCAAAUGCCAAUACAAUUGCUUCACCACAAAUUUACUAUUGCCAUUUAAAGUGCAUAUCACUCUGUCUUUGUCUUCAGUCGAAAUCUCCUCACCGACCAAGCUACGAAGAUCAGCCCAUUAUUGUUCAAUGUCUCCAUACAUGGUUCUUUUGAAUUCAAAAUCACUCCAUCCUCUACUCUUAACUGAUUGAAGGGUACUUAAGUUGCUAAAGGAAAUGGCAUACAAUCUAGAAAAUCUCUUUGCGAGAGCCAGAUCAUCAAGCCAAAUGUCUUCCCAGACGGGAGUUUUCGCUCCGUUUCCUAACACCCUCCCGACAAGGGGGUAUGUUUGGAAGAUAGUUGCAUGGUUUUUAUAUAAUGAAAAUAAGGGUUGUUAUCCAUGUCGGUACUUACAACACUUUGUUGGACGUUAUUGUUUUGCAAGAACCAUAUGUAUUUUAACCAAAGAAAUGUGCCCUUACUCGCAAGGUGGCCCUUAUGUACUCGUGUACACGUUGACUUUAUAUUUAAUGAGUAAUGCUACAUCUACAAAAGGUUGGUCAAUUUUUUUACAGGCAAGCUAAUGUGGGGGAUUAUGAUUGAUAAUAAGGGAAUGAAGAGGCCCAUCCCAAAUUUGUAGAUUCUUGGUAGAUCCGUGCUUGUGUUUCGUUUGCGUUUCUCUCGUUGAAGAAAGGGACAUCGAUAGCGUGAAUGCUGUACGUCCGUGCCUGAAUCAAGUUGGAGUUGUUCACGCACGCACCAGGACGCAGAAUGUGUUUUAGACCAAGGAAUUUCUUUUUGUUGGUCGUAUACAGAGGCAGGAACAUGAACCCUUUGGAGGGUCAUUUUGACAUCCCGACUAGAAGCUGUAAACAAAAGAGACGUGGCCACGUUUUGCCUUUCCUUGUCGUGCACGCUGGCCUGGCUUAACAUGUUAAGGCUCGUGCAUUCAAUUGCUCAUCUAAACCUAGUUUCUUAAAAUGUAAUUCCUCUGUAAACUAAUAUAAGAGUGUUUAGAUCACUAUUUUAGUAUUCUAAACGUUUUUUAUAUUGGUUUGCAGAGGGAGUACUCCACUAGUAGAAGGGAAGUACGCGUACUGCCACUACGAGUACUUGGCAAGUUGGCAACCUUCUCGGCGGGAGCUCGACCUGCCAGGGUUGCUGAUUUGACGGCUCCCUUCUCGGCGGACGGCCCCGUUGUCGUCGGCCAACCCAUCAUCUAGCGGUGCCAACGGCGUAAUGUGCCCAUCGUCAAGCCGAGCGCCAUGCAGUGUCAUGAUCGCUCAGGAUGCGUCGAGACAGGGGCAGGUCCCGGGUAACCAUCCAAAUUAAUUCCACCUAGAGACUCAAAAGGAGUAUCUCUAUCAAUUUUGCAAGAGGCGCGUGCGCUGGAAGACCGUACCAGCAGUACGUACUGUGGUAAUCGUGGACCAGCGCUUCAUGCUUAGCGUUACGGAUUGACCACCCGGCAGGAGUUUAAGAGCAGAGAAGAGCAGCAGUAGCUGCGGAGACAUGCAUGUGCCAACCAAGCGUACUUGUCCGUCUGUCUGAUUAAUCGAGUUCAUUAAUCCAGGAUCGAGAAAGGUGGCACAGUGCAGUGCGACGAGGCGGAGCAGGACGCCAAGGACUGAUGGGACGGCCAUUGCAUCUAGAUUAGGCGGAAUCUAGGUGGCCUAGCUACUCAUGUUCCGCAAUUAUAAAGCGCCAUCGCCAAACGAAGAACCUAACAAAAAAGAGAGAGAGAGACGAGCAAACAUAGAACGAGAACGAGAUGAUAAUCGAUCCAGUCGGUCCACCAUGGGCCGAUCUUCCAGCCGGUGACAAGCAGUACCGGCACUCCGAGUGUCCGACCCGUCGUCCAUCCGUGAGCUGAUCGGUCUUGUGGCCAGUGACAAGCGCCAUCAGGACCAACACGGCCAUGCGUGUGGAAAGUACCUACGCUACGUGUAGUACGUGCACGCAUGAGGUGGUGAUGAGAUGCGUAACUCGGAGACGUGACGGAACGAAACGGCGAGAGACUGAUGUGAAGGCAGUGGUUGGCUCUUGAACGCUGAUAAGCCAUCAUGCGGGUGGUUGGGUGCGAGCAUGGCCAUCUCAUCUCAUGGUUAAGUCGGUGGAUUAGACCGAUGGGCGAAAUUACCACCAGUACACUCAUUUUUUUAGGGUACACUCCUUUUUUUGAGAGAGAGAGAGGAGAAGAAGCAGCAGUACGUACACACUCAUACGGCCAUACCCGGCCAGCCCACGGGUCCCGGUAAGGGGUGCACGGGCCGCCGCUGCCAGGCCCCGGCUCGGCCCGGCCUCUACCGGCAGCGGGCCCACCAUGCUGGGCGCACAGACUGCGAGCCGGAUUGUUGCCGCCGCCGCCGCUUGGCCCGGCCGGGCGCGACCCGAGCGAGCGAGCGAGCCACACCCGAACCUCCCAACCAAAGCCGCCUCUACCCUAAAAAAAAAAACAAAGCCGCCUCUCCCUCCACNNNNNNNNNNNNNNNNNNNNNNNNNNNNNNNNNNNNNNNNNNNNNNNNNNNNNNNNNNNNNNNNNNNNNNNNNNNNNNNNNNNNNNNNNNNNNNNNNNNNNNNNNNNNNNNNNNNNNNNNNNNNNNNNNNNNNNNNNNNNNNNNNNNNNNNNNNNNNNNNNNNNNNNNNNNNNNNNNNNNNNNNNNNNNNNNNNNNNNNNNNNNNNNNNNNNNNNNNNNNNNNNNNNNNNNNNNNNNNNNNNNNNNNNNNNNNNNNNNNNNNNNNNNNNNNNNNNNNNNNNNNNNNNNNNNNNNNNNNNNNNNNNNNNNNNNNNNNNCACGCGGUGACGCCGGCGGCACCACACCCACAGACACGGCGAGACCACACGGCCCCAGCUCUGGAUUUCUCUCUCUAUAUUAUCUCUCCUCUCACUCUCCCCCCCUCUCUCCCUCUCUCCUUUAUGGCUCCGGCGCUGCAGAGCCCGCACGCACAGUCCAUGACUACUCCGUGCGUGCGUGCGGAUUGACUCGCGCGCGCACACAAACGCCACUCCACCCCACCCCCUUCCGUCCGCGUCAGUCCCCCUCGUGCACCGCAGCAGCAGCCAGCGGCAUUCAGCGCCGCUCUCGCUCUGCUUUUCUCGCUUUGCUUUCUUCUCCCUCCUGCUGCUCCCCCCUCGCCGGUCACCACCUCCGGCCUGUCCUCGAGCUAGCCUGCCAGGCGCGACACAGACGCCGGACGCUCGGUGGGUGAUACGAGAUCUGGUGGGCUAGCUGAGCGGAGACGCUCGGCCACCUAUGGGCUGGGCGAGCCGGCGCGGCCUCGCCGCGGCGCUCCUCCUCCACCUCCUCUUCCUCGCCGCUGCCCUCGGUAAGACAGCCAGCGACAUGCACUUUCUCCGUGUUUCUUCGGCAUUAUAUACAAGGCGAGCUCUAGCUCACACGUACGUGCGCCGCGCAUGUGUAUGUCUCCUGCAGGUGGGUGCGCCGCGACGAGCCGGAGGAGCGGCAGCAGCGGCGGUAGAGCAGCGCUGGAGCAGUACUCGUGGGAGGACCCUGCGGAGGCGGCGCGGCGGAGGGAGCUGGUGGGCCCGGGCUCGUCGCCGCCGACGUGCCGGAGCCGGUGCGGGCGGUGCCACCCGUGCCGGCCGGUGCACGUGGCCAUCCAGCCCGGCGUCAGCUUCCCGCUCGAGUACUACCCGGAGGCCUGGCGCUGCAAGUGCGGCGACAGGCUCUUCAUGCCAUGACCGCCCGUCCACGGCUCCGUCUGCACAUAUAUGUAUGCCCUGAUGCUGCUCCCGGCUCGGUCCGCCAUUACGGCUGCUUCAGCUCACUCACGGGAGCUAGCUCCUCAAGGCCACGGCUGCCUGCGCGCACAAGGCCAGGAGGUCCAGCACACGCACGGCAACCAGAGGGAUCUAGCUAGAGAAGAAGAAGAAGAAGAAGAGGGAGCGGAGCGCAGAGAGAUCCAUGGAACCAUGGAAAGAAACCAAACAUGGAGGCUUCCUCCUCGAUGUAUGUAAUAACAUUGUUCAGUUCUUGGAGAUUUUAACCAGUGUCUUGUCGUCGCGUCCGAAGAGGUGGAGAGAUGGAUCGAGAUUGUUCGUUCACGCUCUCUCUCUCUGGUUCUUCUCCUUGUCGAGUCGCCAAGCCAACUUCCGGUUUUGAGGAGUGAUUUUCCGACUAAUUUUCGUUAAUCUAUGAUGUAUAUUUCCUCAUGGACAACAUCUUCCUCAUCAUUUUGCUCUGUUCGAGCAUGCUUCCUUACGUAUAAAAGAGCCAGUAUGCCAAACUAGCCACAAAAGACGCUUUGGCCGAGUGGUUAAGGCGUGUGCCUGCUAAGUACAUGGGGUUUCCCCGCGAGAGUUCGAAUCUCUCAGGCGUCGAUUGUUUCCCUCCUUUUUUUUACGCUGGAUCUCUCCAAAUUUUCACUUCCUGCUACUACACGCGUUUUCCAUGUCUGGAUGGAGCCUGUAAUUGUUCUUGGGAUUCCCUGGAUCUUGUGGCCAGUUCAAUACACCACACCACACCCAAAGAAACAAGAAACAAUCUCCCCCAUGAAAAAGUUCAGAACAAUUUCUUAUCCUCACUCCAUCCGUUCCAGCACAAGCGCACUCCAUGGCAGGGCAUGUGCCUCGUAGAGCCGCAUAUAGUAUGAGCGCGUACAGAAAACCAUGGCUAGGCCCCCAAAAGAUGAGGCGGGAACAGUAGCAGGCAUUUCCUCUUCCUAGGAGUGUAGAGCUACAGCUGCAGUGCGCGACGAACAGCCCGAGCUGCAUGCCAUGGCAGCUGCAGCAGUGCAGCACGAGCCCCUCUCUCUUUUCUUCAGACUCUUUUCUUCACAGGAGCAAGAAACAAAGGAAAAAGCCUGCGCGCGCCUAGUAUACAAACGCCACAGCAACAGUGGCCUACGGCACGGUAGGCUUCCCCCCGGCAGUGGAACUAAUUUAUGCUACUGCUACUCCCAGCUGCCGCUGCUGCUGCUUUGCUCGCGUCAAAUCAGCAUAAGUUCCCUAGAGAGGAGAGGGGAUGAGGAGGCCUGAAUGCCCUACUUUGGACGCCAUGCAUGCCAUCCCGUGCCCUUUUUUUACGUGUUUGUUUAUGAAUUAUCGCCGCCCGUCAUUUGUUUGCACGCAAUACUAUACUUAGCCGUAGGCUCAGCUCACACGCAGGCCUAUCUACGUGCAUGGCUGUAGCUCAAUCAUCUCUGAAUUAUGUAUGUUGGCGGCAGCGUUCUGCGCCAUUCAUUCAGGCACGCACGAUGAGGCUGCAGGCGUCCCCGGCGAGAGGGGGCAGGCACAGCCUCUGCGCCGAGGGAACAGAAACGGUGGCUUUCCUCCCUAUCGCCCCACCUUUUGGUCAUUCCGUCCGUGAAAACCUCGUCUCUUUCCUCGGGAGAGGGGGAGAGGCCUGGGAAUUUGGCAUGAACCUCGUUCCUUUCCUACAGUGUCUCUGAGCUGAGCUGAGCUGAGCUGGGGUGAGCUAGCUGGGGAUGAGAUGUGUGAUUUUCUUGGAGCUGUUUCUCCCGCGUGAAAAUUUUCCGGGGGCCGGCGUACUAACUCCUGUCAGUGAUGGAGACCGAGCCAUGUCCCUGAACAUUUUUUAAAGCCCAUGGAGCCGGCCAGGGAUGGUGGAUUGGUGGUGGCACAUGAGUCCCGAUAAAAGGUGAUCCAGCCCCGGGCAUCCUCGAAUUCAUUCUUUUAUGGCUCCUACAUGCGUUCAACUAAUAGUAAUUCCAUGACUUGAUCUGACGGGAGCACUGCUAAUAAGCUCAGCUCAGCUGUCGGCUGUCUCUCUCAUGCACGAAUCUGGCCGCCCAAAUUUCACCGGAUUCUUAUCUGGAAUUAGCUUACUGAAAAGGAUGCGUUGUUGGGCUGCUUGCAUCAUAUAAGUGGAUGCUGGUAGAUUUCUUCCAUUGUUAUAAAUGAAAUGCUGUUGGGAAGCAGGAACAUCUGUCCUCCUCUUGUGAGAUCUUUGUGCUCCUCCAGUUUCUCUCUAAAAUAUAUAUAGAGGACAUGAUUGGAGCACGGCUCCUUUCUGUGUGCAGUUUUUCGUCGUCAGAAACGCAAAGAGUGUCGUCCCCGUCGACGUCGUCGCAGGGUGCCACCUGCUCCCCCCUGCGAAAGCUUUAGCUUGGCUUCAGCACUGUGUCUACCAAUAGUAUCCUCGGGAGCGCGGUCGCUUGCUCUCGCAGCAAAGCUAGUGGUGGUUUCGCUCGCCUCCACGCGGAACAGAUGAGCGACGCAGCAGCGUAACUGUAUGACUGAAUCAGAUCAAACACAAAGCAGAGACGAGCAAGCGUUUCGCCUGCACGCAGACGCAAAGAUUCGCCAGGGCCGAGGCGUUGUACGUGCGUGCGACGCAAGCAAGCACAGUGAGAAUCUCUGAAUCUGCAGAUCAUGGCGGCCCUGUCAGAUGUUCAUUGUGUCGCUAAGCAGUGGCGGAUUAGGCGCAGGUAACCACGCGAGAUGAUAUUUUGCUUGGUGAGGCAGAGUGUUUUCAGUAGCAGUUGAUCCAGCCCAUGGCUCUGGUGUGCUGAUUGCUGAAUAUCGCCGGCAGCCAAGCCAAGGCUUUGGGUGCACGCCAUUUGCUCACGAAAAUUUGCUCGCACCUACUUCCUUCGUUCCAAAAUAGAUGACUCAAUUUUGUACUAACUUUAGUAUAAAGUUAGUAUAAAGUUGGUUCAUCUAUUUUGAAACGGAGGGAGUAGCAAUUACCGCGUCCCGCUUUGUUAGUUUUCCAAGCGAACUACAUUCAACAUUUAUCUUACCCAAAACUUCCACUCAUGAACAAACAAAACAAAAUCAGAGUGGGAAUGGAAUCGAAGGCAGCAUAUUUCAAAUUUUUUUUAGAGAAAUGAGGGGUACCAUUCAUGUAUAAUGUUCACAGGGAUACAAAUUGCUAGAAUGUCCUAGGUGGACACAUGCCAUACCUAAAAAAAAGCCACACAUGCCAACCCACUUAUCGAUUUUGUUUUUCACAACUGACAUUUCACUAGUUAACUCAUUCAUGGCCCAAGUACCAAUUGACAAGGCAGCUAUGAAGGCCCACGAUAAGGAAUGGUUGGUGGUGAGGGAAACCAAGCACUUCAUAGCUUGUUCUUUCAUUUUUCCGGCCCAGUACUAAUACUGCAGAUUGUAAUAAUCUCUAAAAGUAGGAGUACUAGAUGCGCGAGCAUGUGGGUCUGAGUUGAAAAAUAAAUUGAAAGAUCAUGGACAAGAAUGUGGAAGCAUUCAAUACCGGCUAAAUUAAAAGUUUUUGCUUUGAGGCUUGCGCGCCAAAGCUUACCCGCUGCAGAUGUUGGCACCGACUAGUGUUUGCAGCAUUUGUGGCUGGAGCGAGGAUUCGUGGAGUGCAGAAUGGCUUGAUGUGUUUGGGUACUGGUCGAUGAAGAACUUCUAUGAUAAACCGAGGAGCUGCGGUGAGCCAAAUGCUAGAAGCUGGUUGUUCGAGAUGGAUGAUUUCCUAUCCAGUACAGAUAAUGUGAAGAUGAUUACUGCCCUGUGGGCAGUCUGGAAGGCAAGGCGAGAUAUCAUACAUGAAGAUGUUUAUCAGAGCCCUUUUGAAACAUGCAAUUUUAUAACACAUUUGUUGCAUGAGGUGGGCUUGAUCGAUUCAGCAGAACAGAGAGGUCAGCAGGAGAGGCAGCCAAAGGGUGCUGUGAAAGGUAAUGUUGAUGCUGCAUUGUCAUAUGAGAACAACAGGUGCUCGGCUGCAGCUAUUUUUCGUGCUGAUGAUGGUACCUACCUGGGGGCUUCGGCAUUCGCUAUGGAGACUGUUUACGGUCCAGUUUGUGUUGAGGUAAUGGCGUGCCGCGAAGGGCUGUGCUUGAUGCAGGACCUAAAUCUGUAUAAGGCUGUUAUAGCCUCUGAUUCUACGGGGGUUGUUAGAAGUAUCUAUGAAGGAAGCAGAGGAGAGGAAGUCAUGAUCUUAACCGAAGUCACGCGCAAGCUGGAGGUUCUACGAGAUGUUUCCUUCAAACAUGAAACAAGGGUCUACAAUGUAGAUGCUCAUAAUAUUGCUAGAAUGUCUAGUUUUAUUAAAAUCUAAAGGAAGUACCAUGUAGAUUUUUUAUGAUGAAAAAUAUCAAACUUCUUUUUGCUUUGUUCUAUUUAUAGAGCAUAGGAUUCUGUCAUUGAGGAAAUCGACAUCACAAAUAAGAACAUGAAAAGUUUCAGCCACCCAACAAUCAAAUAGACAAUCGGUUUAUUUAAUAUUAUAGAAUUAUUCACAGAGACAGUUUAUUCCAUUUUCACACUAAAUCAUCAAUUCUCGCACCGUAGAAGAAUCAACAAGUGCAAAACAAAUACUGCAGCAGCGACAUACACCCAACAAAGUACAUCUCUAACGGGCUAAAAGCUCUACCCUGUCCGUGAACAAAUACUCCCUCUAGUGUUAUACCGUGGUAUAAACCAUCCUCUGUUCAU